rnacentral:lncRNA from 1 species
GCGAGUUGGGAGAGUACGCGUACUUUUUACGAUGUUGUGAGACGAUGCCCAUACAGCCAGCUGGCGCGCGCUCUUUCCGCGGGAACUGCUGACAGAUGAGCGAGAAAAGAAGACGACGAGCUCUCCUCUCACGUCUCGCCACAUCUCGACCCGCGCGGCACAUCUCGACGCGCGCGUCUCGACGUUCUACACCUCGCGCCGUGAGAGCGUGAACUUCGCGCGCGACUCGCGACCGUCGAUACGCCCGUCGAGCGUCGCGCGACGCCGCGUACACGCCGCGGGAUCUGAGCGAAGGCCGUUACUCGCCCCCGCCUUUUUUUUCGCUCGCGCGCGCGUUCGAACGUCGCGCGCGCGUCUGGACCAUCGAGAGACCCUCGCGCGCCCGAAACGCGCAGAAACCAUGACGCGCAACAUCGCGAAAGAGAUGCUGCGGAGUGCGGCGAUCAUCAUGCAAAAAGAGGUGCGCGCGCGACCCCGAUCUCGCCGGGGGAACGGCAUUAAAUGUGUCCAGUCAGCGUGAAGAUUUGGAUAUCCGCGAUGCACGCAUAUCUUUUCGCGCGGCGGCGGCGUCUCAACGCGACCGACCCCCCGUCAACCCCCGCGCAGGCGAAGAGCGCGUACAAGUACGGCGAGGACGCCAUCUACCAUCUCCCGAAGCGCCUGAAGAAGCUCCAUCGCAAGAUUCGCGACGUCGAGACGGGUAAGUCGACGCUGUAUUCGCGGUAUCAGAAGGGAUGGCCGCGAGGGUUCGAAUUUAAUUCGCACCGCGUUCGACGACAUCUGUCGGCGUCGAUGGGCUGGGACCCCGCGGGGCUGCACCUCGAGCGGUGGGGGGGGAAGAAAGGGGACAAAGACGAGCUCGCGUACUGACGCGUCGGCGGCGUCGCGUCGAUCUUGUUGUAAACUACGAGUACCGCGCGUGCGAAGUAUCUUCAGUGCAAAAAAGCGCCGCCGUCGAGCGCGUCAUCGCCUGCCUCUUCCCCACGCGCCGCCGCCGCCGCCGCCGCUCGGCUCCUCGUCGUCGCUGUCGACGUCGCCGUACUCCCACAUCCCCGCCCUGCUCUUCCUCGCGCGCUCCUGCGCGACGAGCAGCGCCUGAAACACGCCGGGUUUAAGCUUUAGAGUUUUAUCCGCGCGCGCGUACCCGUCCGCGACCAUCGCCUCGUUCACGGACGGCCCGUCCUCGUCGUUCUUCUCGCCGCCCUCGCCGCUCUUCUCGUCGCGGCGCGCGCCCAGGGUGACCGUCCACUCCGGCGACGCGUCCGGGUCCCACGGCGCGUGCGGCGCCGCGUGCGCGGACUCGACGCGCGAGAACAGCGCGCGACCCAUCGCGAGCGCUCUGAGGUUAUCGAGCGCGUCGCGACCGAAGUCGUCCGGCGCCGGCUUCACGCCGGCGAGCGCGCACAGCUUCGCGAGCGGCGGGAACGGCGCGAGCGACGGAUCCAACGGCCGCACGCGCGACGGCGGCAGCGCCUCGCCGUUGCCGUAGUCGCAGUAGAAGACCUUGAUCGCGUCGUUCCGGGGGGGCUCGGUGACGAUGGCGCGAUACCACGCGUCGUCGCCGGUGAAUCGUCCCGCGACCAUCUGCCCGCGCUUCGGCGCGAAGGAAGUAACGCUCGAAUCGUUUGCGUUACACGCUUGGAGCUGCUCGAAGAGCCAGUCCGCGCGAUCGCCGUCAGCUCUCUGCGCGAAGAACGUCGUCCCGGUGAUGACCUCCGUGACGCCGAGCGUGGUCGUCUCUUUCGGGCCUCCUCCCCCCGCGGCGGCGGCGGAUGCGGCGCCGCGCGCCGCCGCCGCCGCCGCCGCCGCCGCCGCCUCCGCCUCCGGGGACCACCCGACCCAGACCCCGGCGCGGAUUUGCUUCGCUUGCUCCUGCGCGCGGACGAGGGACUCGCCGCUGGGGUGACGCUCCGGGGUGAACGACGGGUGAAGCGUCCCUAACCCGCGCUUCAAGAGUUCCUCGCUCAGGUUAAACCUGCCGCCCUGCGUCGUGAGGUGCCCUAAGAACGUCCCCGUCUUAUCCACGGCGUCGACCUCGAUCUCGACGUCGCGUUGCAAGCACGCGUGCCGCACAAAACGUAACGCAUCUGCACCGUGCGGUUCACCCCCGGAUCCGGAUCGCGGCGGCUGCGGGCACCGCACGCCCGCGAGCGAAAACGCGAUCGACGCUGACUCCUUCGGCACGUGAAUCUUCAUCCGGUGCCCGGUCACGACGUACUCGACCACCCCCGCGCUCUUCCCCGCGCGCUGCAGGAACGGCAGGAACUGCUUCGCUUUCGCCGCGGUCGCGCUCGCGUCGUUGACGCGGUGGAUCGGCGCCUCGCGGUCUCGGUUUUGAACGCCCUUCUUCCCUUUGAUCGCCCGCUGUUCCGCGGCGAGGAUGUCGUCGUACCGACCGCUUCUCUCGUCGUCGCCGCGGUGCUUGAUGGCGCUCGCGAAGCCGCGCAUGACGAGCAUCUCCGCGAGGUUGGCGCCGUCGCUCGCCAGGGAGACCGUGCCGAAGUCGAGGUGACGCUCGGGGGCGGCGGCGUCGGUUGCCGUUACGUCUACGCCGCCGCCGCCGCCGCCGCCGCCGCCGAUUUUCCGCGAGUAUUCCAUGACGACCUCGACCGAAUGCCCGACCGCUCUCUGCCUCAGGAACUCCUUCGCCUCCGUCGCCCACGCCUCGGGUUUCUGCCCUCGCCGCUCGUUCCCGAUCCUCGGCGCGCGAAUCGACGCGAGGUUCACGCGGCGCUCCAUCCCGCUCGACGCGUCCGCGAUCACGAGACAGUCCCCGCUGACGGCUUCGAUCACGACGCCCGCGAAUUCCCUCCCGGCUUUCAACGUCAGAGCGCUCAGGGUCGUUCCAUACAAGCGAUUGUCGGGGUGGAGUUGAAAGGCGUCAGUUGGAGUUGAAAGGCGCCAAGGGCGGGGAUUGAAAGCGGGGGGUGGGCGCAGAGAGACGCCGGGAAAAGUCCUUAAGGAUCGGCGUCCACAUCGCCAACGCGGUCGUAUGGGGACCAGUGUAUAGAACGCACCUCAUGCUCGACGCCGGCGGCGUGUACGUCUUCCAAAUCCUCGCCCGCGCGUCCUUCGCUUUUCUCUCCGCCGCGCGCAGCCGCUGCGCGCCCGCGAUCGGGUCGGUCAUGAGCGCGACGGACCAGUCCACGACUUUCGCGAGGCCUUCGGAGACGAGCGCGGCGGCGACGUCCACGGGUGCGCCGUUUUCCGCGAACAACACCGUCGCGUGGAGAUUAUCGUACUUGUCCGCGCCUUCGAACACGACGCGAACCUCGCGGUGUAAGAGUCGGCAUUCGGUGAAGUGUUUCGCCUCGCGCGCGAAGGGUUCGGGCGCAGCUGCGACGGUUGACGUUCCAUCUUCCCCGCCCGCCGCCGCGUCGAGUUUCGGUCUUUUCCCCAUCGCCGGGCACUGCGCGCCGGCGACGUUGACCGUGAUCGUCGCGUGUCUCGUCUCGAGCUCGUCCGUGAGAAGGCACACGCGGAGGCAGCCGCCGUUCAGCACGGCUUCGACGAUCGCGGGCGUCGGAACGCCGCGGCGGGUGGAAAGUAACGUACGGUUAUCGACCGUUUCUGGCGCCGGCGGGGAGCGCGUCGCCGCCGCGAGUUUCGUCGCGUCCUUCGUCCACAGACCCGCCUCGCGCGUCUGCGCCUCUCGCUCCGCGUCGACGAGCUCGUCGUAGUUCGCCGCGGCGUCGCCGCCCUGGGACGGCCGCACGCGCGCCCAUCCGUGAGAAACGCUCGCGAGAGAGACGUUUUCGUCCCCGACGUAGAUCGUCCCGAACUCGCGGCCGAUGGACGAGACGACGUACUCGACGCGAAAUUUUAUGCGUCGUCCGACGAGGCGCUUGCGAAGAAACUCCCUCGAGUCCCACGCGAACGGCUCGUCCCUCGUGGAGUUAUCGCGACGCGCCUGGGAGACGAUCGCGGGACCGGGACGAGGGGAAGGAAGCGUCAGCGUCGCGGGCGGCGACGGCGCGGCGUCGUCCAUCUCAGGCUGAGAAGAUCGACGCAGAUCUCCGUCGAUCGAUCGAUCGGACGCGGCGGGGGUCGAAGGGAAAGCGAACGUCGCGGACGACGUUUGGAUCGACCGAUCGACCGAACGAUCGGUCGAACGCGCGCGAUCUCGCGUUCGCGGCGCGGGGACGCACCAUGCGAGGCGCGAUGAGGGACGCGAGCGUGAUCGUCUUCUCCGGCGGCGGGCCAGCCUGCGGCGGGGCGGUGGGGGGGGAGGGCGCGGGCGUCGUCAGUCGGCGGAGCGAUCGAGGCGCGAGAGUGCCGAUCUCGUCCGAUCGAACGGUCGAUCCGUCCGAGAGGGCGUCGACGACGACGACGACGACGACGACGACGACGCACCGCCGCGGAGGCGCCCAUGACGACGACGCAAUCGCCGCUCGGCACGGCCUUGACGAGGCCGUGCAGCCAUCCGGUGCCUUCGGGAGCCAUGGCGUUCGGUCGGAGAGCGCGCGCGUUAAAUAUGACGCUGUCGCGACGAACAGCCGCGCGCUGCAGCUGCUACCUGCAGCUGCUGCGUCCUCAUUUUAUUUUCGGAGACGAACAGUUUCGUCUUCUUCGGCGCCGGCGAGCCGCCGAGCGCGACGAGAGCAGAGAUCGAAGAGAGAAGAGCGACGCGAGCGAACGAAUAGUCUACCGCGCCGUUUACGUUACACGCGCCGCGAACGUCUACGCGUCCGACGCGUCGUCGCAGCGCGUCACCUCUUCACGACGGACGCGAAGGACACUUUCAGUUUCCCACCCGGCGCCUUGGCCUUCGCGGCGGCGCGCUCUCCGACGUCGCCGCCGAUCUCGUCGUGCGUCCCGCCCAACCCCGCGAUGUCGUCGUCGUGAUCCACGGGCUCGGGGACCUCGAUCGCGGCGGCGGCGGUCUCCGUCGUCGUCGUCGUCGUCUCGUUCUCUUUAUCCUCACCGCCCGCGUCCUCCGCCGCCGCCGCCGCCGCGUCGUCGCCCUCGCCCUUCUUCUCGCGCUUCGCCGCCGGCUCCUCGCCGUCCGCCGCCGCCGAGGCACCCGCUUCCGCGUCUUCUUCCCCGUUCCCGUUCGCGUCGUCCUCGCGCCCGCGCUUCGCCCCGACCGCGGCGGCGGCGGCGCCACCCUCCGCGUUCUCCUCCGCGGCGGCUUGCGCCGCCGCCGCCGCCGCCGCCGCCGCCGCCGCCCUCUCGUUCGCCGCCGCCGCCGCCUUCGGAUCCGCCGGCGUUCGCGCCUCCUCCUUCCCUUCCUUCCCGGAGUCCGGGAUCGCCCACGCCGGGACGUCCUUCCGUUUCAUGUGCUUCACGUGCACCUCCAUCCCGGGCUGCCACUGCACGGUGCCGUCCGCGCGGUUCACCCACGACGUCACGAGCAUCUGAGGGUCGUUCCAUACGAGCGAACGUCGGGGUGGAUUUCAUAGGCGUCAGAAGUGGAGUUGAAAGGCGUCGAGGUCGGGGAUUGAAAGGAAGGGGUGGGCGGAGAGAAACGCCGGGAAAAGUCCUUAAGGAUCGGCGUUCACCACGCGAACGGGGUCGUAUGGGGACCAGUGUAAGAUCGAACGCGCCUGAAAUUGCUCAACCGCGGGGUUCAAGUUCAGAGUCCCUCGAGGCGCGGGGCCGCCCGUCGUCGGCGGCGGCGCGGGGCCUAACCCGAUGUAAUAGAUGCAGUGCAGCGCGGAAUCCUUCGCGGGGUCCUGCUUGCGCUCCGGGUACGGGUGCGCGAUGAGCGCGCCGCCGCUGCACGUCUCCACCGCCUGCACGAGCAUGCGUAAUCGCGAGUGGACCCACCCUUCCCACUUUUUGAAGUCGUCCUCCGUGAUUGCGCACAUGGUGACUUGAAGGUAGUGCUUGUGCAUCGUGAAGAACGGCAGCGGCUCCCAGAGCGACUCCCACUUCGUCUGGCCCAUGAGAAUCUUCGCGCACGUCUCCCUCCCUCGCUUGAACUCUCGCUUUAACACGUGCAGCGUGGAGUGCGUCACGUUAAACGUCGAAUUUUGCGCCGGAUACGCGGGGGUGAUGAUCUUCAUCAGUUGAAACCGCUCAGCCUUGUUCACGCGCUCGUCCCACACCCUCAACCCGUGGCCUUCAUCGAUGAUCGCGGUCAACAUGACCGGCGUCGUCCACUGCCACGCGUCCCAGAGCUGAAAGAACGAGUACACGAGCAUCGACGCCGCGGCGUUCGGGUACAGCUGGCAGACGCGCGCGACGAGAAUCGCCAGGUUCACGCCGCCGAAAAACCCCUGCACGUUUGAAUACACCCCGCGCUCUCGCGCCCACACGCGAAGCGCGCGGAGCGCGAUGCGGAAAGAGGCGUGGUUCGGCACGAGCCGGAGGAGUUGAUCCGCGACGCGGCAGCCGUUCAGGGACUUCACGGACGCGUCGUCGAGGUUCUGAAGGAUCGACGUCUGGCACACGUCCAAAUCUUCCGGCACCGCGAUGAACGACGGCAACGACGUGUACGCCAUGUCGACUUCGAAGCCGCGGAAGAUGAGCUUGAGCUCCGGUACGACCGCGUCUGGGACCGCGACGAUCCUGUCCGUGCCCGGGUGGUUCUUCAUCGCGAGGUAGAAGCUCCCUUCGUACUCCGUCCACUCGCUUCCGAAGAAAUCUUCGCUUCGGCUGAGAUGCCGCGGACCGAUGCACAGCGUAUCGAUAUCCGCCGCGGGGCCGUGGACGCCCAGCCGGUACGACCCGAACGUGUACAGGUUACACCGCGGCUCGAGGUCCUCUUCGAUCCCUUUCGCCGCGGACGCCGCCUUCACCCACUCCUGCAGCGCCUCGUUGAUCUCGCCCAGAACUUCCUCGCGUCGCGCGCACUCCUCCGGGGAUUCGAACACGUUCUCGAGGUGCAGCCGCGCCUCGAGCUCCGCGCUGAGCUUCACGUCCAUCGCCGUCGGCGCAGCCUCGCUCAGGGGUUUNNNNNNNNNNNNNNNNNNNNNNNNNNNNNNNNNNNNNNNNNNNNNNNNNNNNNNNNNNNNNNNNNNNNNNNNNNNNNNNNNNNNNNNNNNNNNNNNNNNNCCGCUCGAUCGUCGAGCGCGCUUCCUCCUCCGCGUCGUCGUCGCGAGGACGGACCGGGGUCGCGCGAACGAACGAACGAACGAUCGAACGAUCGGAUCGCGACGAGCGGUAGCGGCAACGAACCGACGCUACUGGGGCGGUAAAGCUCGACCGCCGCGAUCAUGUGGCGCGCGCGUCCGAGCGGCGGCGGAGGCGCGGGCACCGCCGCCGGCGCCGGCGGCCGCCCGCAGUGCCAGCGAUGCCUCAAGUUCGGCAAGUGGACGUUCGAGUGCUGCAAGGACGCGUCGUCGCGGGUGUACGUCUCUCGGCCGUCGCGGACGGCGCAGCUCAAGAAUCCAAAGGUUCGGCAGCGAUUCGCGGACGCCGCGGAUCAGCCGCCGGACCUACGGAAAGAGGAGAAGGAGCGAAGAGCGGCGAUCAUCGGGAAGGUGAAGGGGCCCCGAGCGAAGAGGCACCGCCGAUCGAUCGAUCGAUCGGAUCGCGCGGGAGACGAGCGGGCGGAUCGCGCGCGCGCGCGUCGGUCGCGGGCUCGAACGCGUGCGCGGUGCUCGCGCCGACGACGACGACGACGACGACGACAAGUUCGCGCGGGGGGUGCGCGUGCGGACGGCGACCGUCGCGCGGGGGCGGUGUGCGGGGGCGUGCCGUCGCCGCCGCCGCUUCGAUCGAAAGUCGUCAGGCGAUGAGCGCGCGCGAGCGCCGAUGACUCGUCGUGGCUUUUCGAAAACGUGAGCAGACGCGUCGCGCGCGCCGCACGCGUCGCUCUCGCGAUGCCGCCGCCGCCGCCGCCGCCGCCGCCGGACGUCCUCGAGGCCCUCCUCGACGCGUGCGAGGAGGGCAACCUCUCCGCCGUGAAGGCGACGAUCGCGCGCGCGGGAGGCGGCGGGCGCGGCGCGAGGGCGCUCCUCGCGGGGAAGGACGCCGACGGGCAGCUCGCGAUCCACCGCGCGACCAACUCUGGCGACCUGGAGUGCGUGCGAUUCGUGACGGAGAACGGCGACGUCGGCGCGUGCAACGCGCGGGACGACCACGACAUGACGCCGUUCCAUCUCGCGUGCGAGGGGGGCUUCCUGGACAUCGUGGUGCGCCGCCCGGGCGGGGUCGGCCCGCUCUAUAUUUUCUAGAUGCUUCCGUUCGACGCCUCCGAACCGAACGCGCUCGCUUCCGUUCCGUUCCAUCCCAUCCCAUCCCAUCCCGUUCGCAUCCGCUCGUAGUCGCGCUGAACCAACACGACGCCCUCCCUCCCUCGCUCGUUCCGCGUCCUCCGCGCGCGCGCGCUCUUCCGUCCGCAGAAAUACUUCGCGUCGCGCCCGGGUCUGGACCGAUCGAUGGCGUCGUCGAAGAAGACGUCGUAUUUCCUCGCGCAGAGGCACGGGCACUCGGAGGUGGUGGCGUUUUUAGACGAGCUCGAGCGACGCGAGGAAGCCGCCGCGGCCGCGGACGGCGGGAGGGAAGGCGACGCGUUCAAGACGCCGCCGGCGAGGAAGAAGGGCGCGAACGCGAACGCGAACGCGGCGGGGACGCCGUUCAGGCGCGUUCUAUACACUGGUCCCCAUACGACCGCGUUGGCGAUGUGGACGCCGAUCCUUAAGGACUUUGCCCGUCGCAUCUCUCCGCCCACCCCUCCCUUUCAAUACCCGCCCUCGGCGCCUUUCAACGCCAACUGACGCCUUUGAACUCCACCCCGACAUUCGCUUGUAUACAACGGCCCUCAGUCCGAGUCCGCACGGACACCCGCUCGCGAAGGAAGAUUCGAGGACGUGCGUCGUGAUGUGACGUCCUCGAGGAACGGUCGGCGUUCACCCUUCCGCGCGAACGCGGUCGUGUGGGGACCAGUGUGUAGACGCGACGCGACGCGAGACGACGACGAACGCAUAACUUAGAACACGAUAGCACGAAGAAGAAGACGCCGACGACGCGAGACGUAAGUUGCGAUAAUGUUACGGUACCGAUCUUACAAACGAAAAAACAACUCCGGCGCGCCGCCCGGCUCCCCUCCCCCCCGUCGCGCGCGCGCGUCGCGACUACAACUCCUCCGGCGCGGCCGCCGCCGGCGCGAUCCCCAAGCUCCUGUACCCCCCAUCCCUCGCCCACUUGUCGAUCUCUCUCGCGCGCGCCACCGGCAGCGGAUGCGUCAGCUGUUUAUUCUGCGCGUUUCGCAGAUACCACCCCAGCGGCGACGCCGUCGCCUCGUCGUACCCGCGCGCUUGAUCCAGGAACGCGUCCACGUUGAGCUGCCCGGACAGCUUCGGGCACCCCCCGGAGAGUUUCAUGAGCACGGAGACGACCACGGAUGGGUCGCCGGCGACGAGCAGCGCGGCGCGAUCGCACGACAGCUCCGCGGCGCGGACCCAACGCAUCAAUUCGUCAUUAAAGUUAGCCGCCACGAAGGACGGCACGAGCGGCGUGAUCUCCGCGCCGAGCGUCAGCAAGUUCGCCACCGUGAGCCACACGCCGUGGUCGCACUUUAAGUGCCCGAGCUCGUGCGCGAUGACCGCGCGCAGCUCCGCGGGGGACAUGAGCUCGACGAGCGCGGUGUGGACGACCACGACGGGCUCGCGGCCUGAGGGUCGUUCCAUACAAAGCGAUGUCGGGGUGGAGUUGAAAGGCGUCAGUCGGAGUUGAAAGGCGUCGAGGUGUGUCGGGAUUGAAAGCGAGGGGUGGGCGGAUCGGCGUUCACCACGCCAACGCGGUCGUAUGGGGACCAGUGUAUAGAACGCGCCGGAGAUGGCGAGCGUGUACGCGUUCGGCUGCGACGACUGACGAAUGUACAACGCCGGCGGCUUCACGUCCAGCACCUCCGCGGCGUCGAUGACGAGCUGAUGCACGCUCGGGAGCUGGUUCGGACCCACGAGCACGGAGGUUGAUAUCUGCUCCAUGAUGAGCAUCUGCUCCGCGACCGGCGUCACGAUGCUCUUCGUGAUGUUCGACAGGCCCGGGAUCGCCUCCAGGAGCGACGUGUUCUGCUGGUCCAGCGGGUGGCGGAAGUCGCGCGCGGCCACCUUCUUCCUGACGACGUUGUUGCGGCGGCGCGACGCGGCGGCGUCGUCGUCGUCGUCGUCGUGUGACGCGGAGCGCGGCCACGGCGAGGAUGGGAACGACGACGGCGUCGCGGACGACGCCGCGGACGCGCGCGCGCGGACGUCGUUUCGUCGGAGGACGACGCGUCCGUCGUCGUCGUUUAAACGCGGACGCGGAUCUCGCGGCGCGACGGACGCGCGGCGCGCGACGCCGCGGUUCGAGACGGCGGACGCGCGCGGAGCGACGCGCGCGCGCGGUGCCGCCGACGACGCGAGGAGGGCGGACAUCGCGCGGGCGUCGUCCCAGCGCGCGCGUACGAGUGCACGCGGGGUGGUGACGUCGACGGGAAUGUGAUAUUUUUUUUUCGAUGUCAGCAAAACCAAGACUGACAGCUGCAAGCUGUGCGUUUUUCGUCGUUCACUGCGCGCUCGCCUUCGUCGUCGUCGUCGUCGUCGUCGUUCGCGGCCGAUUAAAGCGUCGGCGGCUCCGUCCCCACCCCACCGUCCUCUCACGCGACGCACGCCUGCUCCUUCUCGAUCUGCGCGACGACGCCCUUCACGACGGCGUCGACGUCGCCCGCCGACGCCGGCGCCGCGACGCGCGCGCUGAGGGUCGAGCGUCCGCGCGAAGAAGCGACGUCGGGGCGGCGUUCAAAGGCGCGUCAGUCGGAGUUGAAAGGCGACGCGGUCGAGCGUUGAAACCGAGGGACCCUGGGCGGAGAGAAGCGCCGGACGAAGUCCUCGAGGAACGGCGUGCACCGCGCGAACGCGGUCGUGUGGGGACCAGUGUGAUGACCGGGACGCGCCCGAGGUCGGUUUCCUCGUCGUCCUCCGCGCCGCCGCGGUCGCGCGCCUCCAGCGACGCCACGCUCUUCGCGGUGAUCAGCACGUGCGCGAGCUUCAGCGGCGACUUCCGCUUCGAUUUGUCGUCGUGCUCCUUGGCGUCAACCUUGACCGCCUUGACUCGCACGCCGAGCGCGGACGCGAACGCCCUGAGGUCUUUCAUCGCCGGCUCGGUGACGUGCUCGUCGCUCAGUUUCUCGAAGCGCGCGUCGAGGAGCUUGUUGUGCGACGUCUUGAGCCUCUUCCGCGCGGCGUCGGACGCGUCCGCGGGGUACUCCGGCUCGUCGUCGAGGAGCGCGGGCGCGUCGUUCGCCUUGUCGCGGAUGCGCUUCACGAGCUCGGUCUGGCGCGCGCGACGGACGGGGCGAGCGCGGACGCGUGAGCGCACGCGCGGCGCGGCGCGGAGGGGGAAGAGAGAGAGAGAGGGCGCGCGGGCGGACCUUGGCGUCUUCGAGGCGCUUCAGCGUCCUGGCGCUCAUCGUCGCGUACCCGCUGCGAUCGGGCUGCUCCUUCGCGGGCUUCGCGUCGACGGGAGCGGGGGGCGGGGCGGGGGAGGAGGACAUGACGCGCGCGGCGGGCGAGUGGACUGGCGGGCGGGCGGCGAGGAGUGCGACGACGAGCGCGACGCGGCGCCCGAUUUGAACGAUCUCAUCAGUGCAACUUUUCGCGAAGAGGAAACCCUACCGCCCCUUCACGUCCGCGCGCGCGUCCGCCUCCGCGCGCGAUGUCCGGCAAGCGAUCGCGCGGGCCGUGGACGCUCGAGAGCAUGGAGAUCGCCGCGCGUCAAAGCGUCGACGCGGCGAUGGACCUCGGAAGGCGGUAUCGCGAGGGCGACGGCGUCGAGCAGAGCGACAAAGAAGCGCUCCGUUGCUUCCUGCAAGCUGUCGCGCUGCGCGACGCGCCGCCGCCGGCGCCUCCGCUGGCAGCGGCGACCGCGAAACCUGGUGGAUCUGAGCGCCGCGAUCAUCAUACCCCUGCCGCGCCUGCGCCUCGCGACUUCAACGACGUCAACAAGGACGUCGCGUGCCUCGUGUUCGCGCACCUUCGAAGGUAUAGAGACCGCGUGGCGCUUUCUCGGGUGAGCAAAGUCUGGAGGGACGCCUCGAAGGAGGCGGCGUCUUUGCCGGACAGACUCGAAUUGGGUAACCAUUGGUAUAUUGGAAGGAGGAAUGAUCGCUUUUAUAAUUGGGUGACCAUGUGUACACUUUUAGGAAGAAUGAUCGAGUAUCUGAUGCAACACAACGGCGUGCUCACCCUCCCGAAGCAGCGGGUUCACGACCUUCUGGUGAGUGUGUUUUUGAACGAUGACGAAGCAUAUUUUUGCGAUGACGCCGCAUGCUUCGGUGAAUUCGAACUGAUGAAAUGGUUGAGGCAGCACGAUUACCCUUGGUCCGAGCAUACGUGCAAAGAUGUUGCGUAUGGAGGACACCUUCACGUGCUGAAGUGGGCGCGCGAGAACGGCGCACCUUGGGACAUUCGGACUUGCCAAUAUGCCGCUCAAAACAAACACUGGCACAUUCUGCGGUACGCGAUCGACAACGGCUGCCCGGGAGCUGAGAGGUACUACUCCUGGUACUACUCUGUACUACCACCGGCCUGAAUGAACCGAUGCGAACGAUGCCAACGCGACGAAGUCGCUCUCACGCCAAGCUGCAUGCGACGAUACUGUCAUACGAUACGAGCACGUUUCUACCUACUCGAACGCUCGCGCCGCGACCGCUAUGAUAUUCCUCAUCAGAACCAAUCCCCGACGAUGACGCGCGUGUUGUCGUGCGCCCCCGCCGCCGCCUCGAUCGCGCGCUCGACGUAAUCCCUCGCGUGCUUCGCGAGCGCGUCGCUGUCCUCCCACAGGUCCCUCCACACGCACAGCGUGUUGGACAGAUCCUCGCUGACGACCUUCCCGCUGAAGCUCUCGAACGUGAUGGGUCCGCGGUAUUGAAUCUCCGCGAGGCCGUAAAACAGCCGACAGAAAUCCACGUUCCCGGUGCCCAACUGCCCGCGGUGCGACUCCCCGACGUGCACGUACCCGAGCUUAUCCCCGCACGUAUUCACCGCCUGCCGUAAACUCCGCUCCUCGAUGCACAUGUGAUACGAGUCUAAGUGCACGCGCACGUUGUCUUCGUUCACUUCGGAUAUAAAUUCCAUCGCCUGCGCGGCGGUGUUCAGCACGUUGGUCUCGUACCGGUUCACCACCUCCAAACCCAGGAUCACGCCGGCGUCGUUCGCUCUCCGCGCGACGCGCUUGAUCGCGGCGAUCGAGUUUUCGUACCCUCGCUUCGUCACCGGCUUAUCGUACUUCCCCAGCGCGCUGUACAGGAUGCCGCACAUGUGCGUGCCGCCCAUCUGAAUCGUCUUCUCCAACGCGUCGUUCAACAGCGCUUCGCCUCUCGCCGCGAUCUCGUCGUCCGCGCUCGAGACGUCCGCGUCGAAGCGCAGCCCCAACGACGUCGUCGCCUGCAGCCCGUGCGCCUCCACGACGCGCUUCGUCAUCGCGCCGUCCACGGCGGAGGGGGACAGGAGCGGGAUCUCGAUGAUGUCGUAGCCCGCGCGCUUCGCGCCCGCGCACGCGAGCGUCGCCGCGGGCUCGUCCCACGCGCCCGUGAACACGAGCGCGUGGACGCCGAGCUUGUUGGGCGUGAUCGGCGCGGGCGGGCGGUCCGGGUCGUCCGUCGCGCGGCGCUCGUCGAACGACGGCGCUUGCGCCUUCGCGAGCGGAGGGAUCGCGUCUGACUUGCGAUCGGGCUUUGAGUCGCGGUCGGAACGCGAAGAAGACGACGAAGACGACGACGACGACGCGAGCGCGACGCGCGCUCGCGACGCGCGCGGCGCGCCGUCGCGGCGACGACGCGAGGAGAGCGGCGAUGGGAGCGUCGCGCGCGCGGCGCACGUCGCGAACGUCGACGACAUCGUGCGGGGACGUCCCUGCCGGCGCGCGCGAGGAUGGAGUGUUAGUUCGAUCGGGGCGGCGUUUGGUGCCGAGUUGAUGACCCGGAAAACCUAUCGGCGCGAGGGCUUUGGCUCGCGUCGUCGUCACUGCCCGUCGCGCCACCGAGGGGCACGAGCCUCGCCUAGCCUCGGGCGUCGUCAUGGGCUCUCCCGCGUGCGACGACCGUCUCGUGGCGUCCCUCCGCGGCGCGUCCACGCCGCUGUUCCGCGUCAUGGAAGUCAUCAAGGCUGCGCACGACAUGACCGUCAGUGGAGCGGAUCUCGCCGUCGGAGGGAUAAAACAUCUCGAGGUGGGGCAGCCGUCGACGGGCGCGCCGCGGCUCGCGCUCGACGCCGCGCGCGACUCCCUCGACGCGUGCGCGCGCGGGGAGACGACGUUAGGAUACACCGUCGCCGAGGGCGUCGACCCUCUGCGCGAGAGGAUCGCGAGGCACUAUCGCGACCGCUACGGCGUCGAGGACGUCGACGCGGACGCGGUCGUCGUGACGACCGGGUCGUCCGCGGCGUUCAUCCUGUCCUUCGUCGCGGCGUUCGACCCGGGCGACCGCGUCGCGAUCGCGUCGCCGGGGUACCCGUGCUACCGGAACAUCCUCGAGGCGCUCGGGUGCGAGGUCGUGUCCAUCCCGGUGGACGCGUCGACGGACUACCAGCCGACGCCGGCGCUUCUGAACGCUUUCCUCGCCGCCGAGGAGGACGACGGCGGCGGCGGCGGCGGCGGCGGCGGCGGCGGCGGCGGCGAUCCCAAACCGAAACCGAAGCCGAUCCGGGGGCUCAUCGUCGCGUCGCCUUCGAACCCCACCGGGACGGUCCUCACGCGCGCGCAGCUCUUCGCGCUGCACGAGUGGUGCCACGAGCGAGGCGCGUGGUUCGUCUCGGACGAGAUCUACCAUCAGAUCGAAUACGGCGAAGACCGCGCGACGACGGCGCUGGAGACGCCGAACGGGCCGCGCGACUGCGCAAUCGUGAUCAACUCUUUCAGCAAGUACCACUGCAUGACCGGGUGGCGCGUGGGGUGGUGCGUGGUUCCGCCGCGGCUGCGCGACGCGAUGCGAGCGCUGCAGCAAAAUUUGUUUAUCAACGCGCCGACCAUCGCGCAGCACGCGGCGACGGCGGCGUUCGACUGCGACGACGAGCUGGUGAAGCACGUGGAUCGGUACCGCGUCAAUCGCGAGAUUUUACUUCGGGGGCUCCCGAAGGCUGGGUUCGCGAAGCUCAGCAGCGCGGGCGGGGCGUACUACAUCUACGCGGACGUGAGCGACAUGACGGACGACUCCGUGGGGUUGUGUAAGCGGAUAUUGGAGACGACGGGGGUGGCGUGCGUUCCCGGGGUGGAUUUCGACCGCGAGCGGGGGUUAAAGUUCGUUCGGUUUUCAUUCUGCGACAGCACGGAGACGGUCACGGAGGCGGUGCGGGUGUUGAUCGAAAAGGUGGACGAGUGGCGAGUGGGCGGGUGAGGCGCGGGGGGUGUGAUGAUGAGGGGGAGUGAUGAUGCGUUGACGGCGUGCGUUGUGACGCAUCCGUACAGUAUCCCUGGGUCAUCGCGAACGAACGGAUGGCGCCGUCGCCUCGUUCGUCGUCGCGACGGAUGAACCAAUCUCUCUCUUUCUUCUACGGUAUCGCUAUGAUAAUCGUCGAGCGUGCGCACGCGCGCGCUCGGUCGUUUCACUUCUUCCCCUUGCCCUUCUUGACCGUCCCGCCCUUGGCCUUCAUCCCCGCCAUCCCCUUACCCUUCUUCCCGCCUUGCCUCUUCCCUCCGGCGCCGCCGGCGUCUUUCUCCGCGAGCUUCGCCUUCGCGGCGCUUCGGCUCUCCGCCUCUUUCGCCCUCUGAAUCUUCCUCGCGGCGACGUUCACGUCCACGGUGAAGUCCUUCUCUCUCCGAACGAGCUUAUCGAUGAACGUCAGCGCGUUCGCCUUGUCCUUCGCGACGUCCGUGACGCCGUCGAACUGCCUUCGCUUCCCUCGCGACUUGAUCUUUUCGUCGCCCGGAAUCGGCGCGUUGAACUUCCCUAUGCUCGCCGUGCUCCUCGCGACGUGCGCGGAGAGGUCUUUCACCUGCUUCUUCCCCAUCUUCCCCAGCGGCAGCGCCUUCGCGCCCUUCGUCGGCGCCGCGGACAUCUGCAGCGUCGGCGGUAACACCUUCGCGCCGUGCGUCGACACGGCGUUGAGUAAAUUCUUUUGCUGACGCCCCGCGUUUUUCUCCACGCGCUCUCUCCGCAUCCGCUCCUCCGCCGUGAAAGGGUCCUCGGUCUGCCCCGGGACGUCGCUCAUCUUCGCGUCCAUUAUGAUGAUCUUGUUCGCGUCCCCCGCGCGGUCGUACCCGUGCCGGCGCUUCCACUCGUCCGUCUGCUCGUCGAAGACCAUCUUCGAUCGCUUCCGCUUCUUGAUGCCCUUCUCCUUCGCGAAAUGCUCCCACUUCGUCAUCGGCUUCUCCUGCGGCGGCAGCGGCUUCGUCCGCGGCAGCGGCGUCGUCCCAGCCGGCAGGUGCACGUACCGUCCGUUCACGUCGCUCUCCGACGGCAGCGCGAAGAGAUCCGCGACGAGCCGCUGGAGGACGUCGCGGCAGUGCGCGAGCGCGACCGCGGUCUUCGCGUCGGCGUCGCCGCCGGCGUACGCCUCCGGGUCGAUCGGCGCCGGGUCGCACGCGAGGAGGUUGCCGAGGUCGAGCUCGAGCGGGCCGUCGUACGCGUCCGUGGCUUCGAGCGCGGACGCGACGCGCAGGCGCGCGGCGCCAGCGUCCGUUUCCGUCAUGAGAGACGGCGAGGGGGUGGGCGGCGCGGGAUGGAGUGGCGCGGCAGCGGCGGCGGCGGCGGCGGCGCGUGACUAAAUUUCUCGAGACUCACAGACUGGUCGUGGUUGAGCUCGAGCCGCCGCGCCGCGCCGUCGCCGUCUGCGCUACGUCUCGGCUCCGAGCGUCUCGGCGCGCCGCAGUCUCGCGCGCGCUUCCACGCUCGCGGCAUGACCUGAGAUCGCGCGCCCUCUCGACGGGCGACGUCCACGCGAUGUCGUCGCCGUCCGCGCGUCGCCGCGAAGCGCGGUGAAUCGCGCGCGCGGACGCGCGCCGUUCGCCGCCCUGCCGUCGAUUCGAUCGAUGGAUGUCGAGGUGCGACGCGAUCGACGACUUGAGAUUUUCUCGCGGACGCGACGAUCCGCUCGCGUCCGCCGCCCGUCUGGCGAACUAUCAUAGAGUCACUCGUGUGAAAGCUUCCGCGAUGUCACACCGAGCGCUCAGUUCCGCCUACACGAACGCGCUCUUCGGUGAACGGCCCGCAGCGCUUUUCGGACGCGUUCUGAAUCGCCGGAGCUCGAACCGCACAUUCACUCGCGUCGUUCCCUCGACGCGAUUAUAACCUAAACGCGACGACCGCGCGCGACGCCGCCGCGCUUCGCGCCUCUUCGCCGGGACGUCGAUGAUGAGGAAAUCAUUGUCCGUACCAUCUGACGUCUCUGACGACGAAACUUUGAAUCUCGUUAACCUGAGACGUCCCGGAGCGGAGGCGCGAAGCGCGACGGCCCGCCGUCGCGUCGUCGAUCGACGAAUCGUUGUUUCGCGCGCGCGUCUGUCGUUUCGCUUUUUCUCCUCGCGGCGGCGUCUCGGCUCUGAUGACCAAGACACAACUAAGGCAUAGUUCAGUUGACACUUCACCGAUGGUAAUUAGUUGGUGAACUCGUGAAACGAACUUUCCGACUGAUGCCGACGCCGCCGCGACGGACGCGCGCGUUGGUUCGUUCGUCGUUCACCAGACCGCCGGCCCGCCGCCGCUGACGAAUUCAUUCGACGUUUCCAUUCUUCGGUCCCUCGCAGCGUCUCUCGAAGACUGCUCCUGCGGCGCGUGCGAAGCCGCCGGCGAAUCGCCGCUCGACAUGUCAUCUGUGAAUGAAAAAGGUGCGGAUACUAAAUCGCCACGUGUACUGUCCUUCCGUCCGUCCGUCUGAUUCGAUCGCGCGCGACGGAACGACCACACGCGCGAGGGUGAAUGAUGAACACUUUUUUUAUCUUAGGACACCUUCGGAGCCUUGUUAGCCCUCGGCCUUGAGAACAAAAGUUAGCUCCUGAUUCCUCCGCGGUCGUUCCGUCGUUUCGCGUCGCGUUGUUUUUAUCCGUCGGUCGGUGCGAUUUUCUUUCGAUAUGAACCGUCACGCGACGGUUCGGGCGUUUCGAACGCGCGGAAAAGCUCUCCCGCUGUUCCGCGCCGACAAGGCGCCCGAGAGAUCGACGCUCAGGUAAAGCAGACUUGUCGGAUUUUGCCAUAUCUACCGGUCUCUAGAGCCUUUGCUACAUGCAGCACACUUCGCGCGAUAUCGCCGCGGGCGUAAAAGACGAGAUCCUCAUAUGAGUUAUUCUGACGGUUACUGACGACACCGUAACCUGAUGCGAACUGAUACGUCGCGCGCGCGUUUCGCGCGUUGUUUUUCGUUCGGUUUUUCUCACUCGUAUUGCAAUUGAAACGCAUUCUCGCCGCCCGUCACGUCACGGGGGGUCUCUUGGUCGAUGAAGAACUUCAUUAUCAACCCAAAAACUUUCCUGAACACCACUGUUGAUCCUAUAAUGUGACCAUACUCUCUGAGACCAAGAGACGCCCGCCGCGUCGCGUUUUCUUCGCUCGUCGAGUCGAUUUUUUUUUCUUUCACGCCGCCGCCGAUCAACCGACCAACCCCCCCCUCCCCCCACUCACACGCGCAGGUCGCGCGACGACGACUGAGUUACGCUACGUCGCGGUAUCGUUCAAGCCGCAGACCGCGGGCGCGUCCGCGCUGAUUUGUUUCAUGUUCCGCGCCUGAGAAGGAAGACGGAGGAAGAGAGGGAGCGGGCGUCGGCGCGAGAAAGUCCUUAAGGAACGGCGUUCACCACGCCAACGCGGUCGUAUGGGGACCAGUGUGAUAACAACAGAACACGCGACGCGGAACCGAGAGAGAGACGUCCGUCGUGUACACGUAACCGAAGAAGCGAGAGCGGGAGGCGAAGAAAAACGAAAACGAGUCGAAUCGACGCACGUGCUCGCGAAUCUUCUCCCACGUCGUCCAAUCGUAGAGCGACACGCGGUACGGAUCCAGGUCCUGCCCUUCCCCGUUCCCAUCGUACAGCACCCAAAAGUUUGUCCCUUGCCCGCUCCCGCCGUCGCGUUUGCUCUUCUCGACGAUGCGAUACACGCUCUCGAAGAACUCGUCUCUGACGUAAAAAUCCCCGGGACCGCCGUGCACGCGCUCGCCCGGCUGCAGCCCUCUCCCGACCGUGAUCCUCGACGACGGCGUGGACUUCCCGAACUCCUCGACCACGAGCGGCUUCCCGAGCUUAUCCGCGUCCUGAACGUGCGCGCGCAACCACCGUUCCGUGUAAUUCAGCUUUUCUUUCCACACCGAAGACCCGUGGAUCGCGUAAUCGAACGCCUUGUUCGACAUCCACGGCGAGUAAUCCGCGUGCCCGAGCCAGUUAUCCGGCCACACGUGCGUCGUCGCGAAGUCGACGUGCUCUCCCGCGUGGUUCGCGAGGAAGUCCUGGCCUUCCAUGAGCGCCCACGGCGACGACGCGAUGCCCGUGCGGCGAUUGCCGCUCCCGGGGUUGAGGUGCACUCUCGAGCAGGAACUCGAGUAGAACCCUUCCUCGCCGAUCGUCAGCAUGUGCAGCGGGUCUAUCGUCUUUACAAACAGGGACAUCUCGUCGAUCCACGCCUGGAGCGCCCACCCGCACCCGGUGCACCGCGGCUCGUUCAUGAGGUUCCAACCGAAAAUCGUCGGGUCGUCGCGGUAUCGAACGCCGUUGAAGGUGUUGACUCGGUUCAGGAACGUUGAAACGUGCGCUCGGUAUGCGUUACGACAGAACCAGUCCGUGUAGAAGUCCGUGCGCGCGCCCGCGGAGGGCGACCACUCCACGUACCGAUCGAUCGAAAGCCAGUAGUCUUCUAACGACACGAUCAGCUUGAUCCCGCGCCGGGCGGCUUCGUGAAGCGCGAAGUCCAUGCCGCGGAAGACGGCUUCGUCGUAGACCCCGGGGGCGAGGUGCAGUCGCAACGCACGCAACUCGGGAGUUUCUCCCUUCCCGAGCGAGAACCCCCACGUACGUAUGACGUUUAUGCCCUCCUUCACGAGCGCGUCGAGCUUGGACGUGACGCGCCAGCGAAUCGUCGGGUAUCGCGCGGUGUCCAUCAAAUCCCAGACGUUUACCCCCGCGUAACUGAGGGUCGUUCCAUACGAGCGAACGUCGGGGUGGAGUUGAAAGGCGUCAGUUGUAGUUGAAAAGCGCAGAGGGCGGGUAUUAAAAGCGAGGGGUGGGCGGAGAGAUGCGCCGGCAAAAGUCCUUAAGGAUCGGCGUUCACCACGCCAACGCGGUCGUAUGGGGACCAGUGUAUAGAACGCGCCUGAACGGUUUCGCGCACGCGUCGGCGUUCGAUUCGUCACCGUUCCCGGCAACCUCUUUCGGUAGCGCGCCGAUCACGAACGUCGUGCCGACCGCGCGGACGGCUUUCGACGCGAGCUUCGGGUCCACGGCCGCGUCCCAUCGACCGCCUUCCGCGCCGAACCCGAACCCGCGGCCGUCCGCGCGUUUAAUUCGAACGCCGCCGCCGCCGCGGAAGGAUCCGUACGGCGUCCCGGGCUCUCCGUCCACGACGACGCGGUACGUCCGCCCCGGGCGCAUCUUCAACGCGUUCACGACGUCGCCGAGGCCGCACGUGGCGUCCUCUGAUUGGUUCUCCGAUAUCGAGUAGAUCUCGUCCGCGAAAACGAUUGGUCGCGACGGAGGGGGAUCAGACGCGGAUCUCUUCGGCGACGCCGCGGUUCGAACGCGCGUCCCGUCCUCGUAAAUCGUCAGACUCUGCGCGUAUCCGCGACUGCACAGGCUCACGUCCACGUCGAAUGCGUCCGCGUCGUUCGGGACCGCGAACGCGAAGAUCGCGUCCGGGUGCGCCGCGGGGUCGAUCUGGCAGGGCACGUACGUCUGGACUUCGUCCGCGUCGUCGACGUUCGCCUCGGUCACGGGCUUGACGGCGAAGGCGCCGACGUCGACGACGUAGCCGCGCGAGAGGACCUCGACGGUCAGCGUCGGGGAAGACGGAACGUCAACCGUCGCGCCGCGGAUCGCGUGCAUCGGCUCGAACGCGGUUAUCCCUCGGAGCGUGACCCACGCGUCGAGCUGCGCCUCGUUGAUCGUCACCGUCUCGAACGUCGCCGCGGAGUCCGAGCCCGAGCCCGAGCCCGAGCCCGAAUCCGCCGCCGCCGGCCAGCGCAGCGCGACGGCGACGUCGGGCCCGAGCUUCACUCUGCUCGUGCGUCGCUCUUCCGGGUUCGGCGCGUCCGUCGGCGCGACGACGUCGCCGCCGCCCGCCGCCGCAAAGUCCUCCGCGUUCUCCGCGCGUCCCCCUCCCGCGUACGACGCCUCGUUCUCGUCCACGGGCUCGGCUUGGAGCAGCGACCGGGACCGGCGGCGGCGACCGGCGCCGGCGCCGGCGGCGCCGUCGAGCGCGUAAAUAUCAUCCCCGCCGGCUCGCGCGAUGGACACGACCCGGUCGUCGUCCUUCGGCUUCGAACGUCGCAGCGCGUCGCGCUCGCCGCCGCCGCCUUCGACGUCGUCGUCGCGGACAGCCUGGAAGUCUUUCGAGGGCGCGAGCUUACGGACGCGGACGUCCACGGUGAGGAGGUACUGCGCGCCGGGCGCGACGCCGGUCACGACGCCGGCGGCGGCGACGGCGUUCUCUCGCGCCCUCGCGUACCUCUCGCGCGUUCGCCGCGCGUCCUCGCUCGCCUUUAACGUCCGCGCCGCGACCGUUGUAUUCACCUUCCCCGCCGUGGCGGCGGCGGUCACGCGCGAAGGGCACGCGCGCCACGGGUGCUCGCAGGGUUCGUCAAACGCGUUCGGCGGCUUCGGCGGAUCCGGGUCGCUCGGGCACGAGUCCGCGCCCGUCGUGGACGUCAAACUCGAAACGUCCAAGCGCCGAGCGUUUUUACCAUCCUUGAAACUGAACCCGACAUCCCAGCCGUCGCCGCCCGCGUGUAUCGCGUGCCCGGGGGCGAGCACGACGUCCUUCGCGAACGACACGUUCAACCCGCGGUCCCGCUUAGGGUUGUUCCAUACGAGCGAUCGUCGGGAUGGAGUUGAAAGGCGUCAGAUGGAGUUGAAAGGCGUCGAGGUGUGUCGGGAUUGAAAGCGAGGGGUGGGCGGAGAGAGACGCCGGGAAAAGUCCUUAAGGAUCGGCGUUCAUCACGCCAACGCGGUCGUAUGGGGACCAGACUAUAGAACGCGCCUUCGUCCCCGCCGGCCACUCGUGCGUCGUGAACGAAAACCGCAGCGCGCCGGUCCGGCACAGAUCCCCUCGGUACGGCUGCACGAACGCCCCGGUGUUCGCGUCGUGCACGCCGGCGUACCAGCACAUGACGUCCAUGUCGGCGUUUGGGUCGCGCAUGCGCGUCCACUCGCCCUCGUACUCGGUGUGCACGCCCCUGCUGAAAGGGACGACGAACCACGCGCCUUUCAAGUUGACGUCUACGGACCCUCUGUUCACGAUCUGACCCAUGACGAGCGACUCCACGGUGUUGACGGGAAGCGCGCCGUUCGCGCGACGAGACGCGCGCCACUGCUCGAGGGGCUGGCGGUACAGCCGCUCGCGCGUCGCGUCGUCGCGAGGCGCGCACUCGGAGACGUCUUCGCGCUCGCCGGGGAGGCACCGCCAGGGCAUGCCGCCGAACGUUAGCUCCGCGACGACGUUCUGAGGGUAAUUGUCCAUACGAAGCGAACGUCGGGGUGGAGUCGAGGGGUGCGUCAGAAGCGGAGUUGAAAGGCGACGCGGCGUGUCGGGAUUGUGAGCGAGGGACCCUGGGCGGAGAGAAAGGCUGGGAGAUAAAGUCCUUAAGGAUCGGCGUUCACCACGCCGACGCGGUCGUAUGGGGACCGGUGUGAUGACAGGACGCGCCUUGCAGCCGACGCCGAGCGGCGCGGGCGGCGACCAGUAGCACGCGUCGGAUGCCGUUCGCGCGACGCCGUUCGCGCUCUUCGCGUUCAACUCGCGGAGGCGCAUCGCGUGCGACUUGAUCAGCGACGUCACCGCGCGCGAAUUUUUUACCUUCUCGUCGUUCUCGUCGUCGUCGUCCGACGCGGGAUACACCCCGUAUCUGCCGCCGUAUUUAUCGAGCGGCUCGUACGCGCGGUGAUAGAGUAUCCAGAACAUGACGCCGCCGCCGCCGCCGCCGCGAAGCGCGCUCUCGUAGAACGAAUCGAACGCGAGCUUGAACAGAUCGUAUCGCUCCUCGAGCUUUCCUCCGAACUCUUCCAACACCACGGGCAUCAUCAGCUCCUCCUCCGCGGCUUGCUGAUGCGAGGUCAGCCAGUCGACGAAAAAUUCGUCCCGACCUGUUUUCGUCGCGCCGCGCUCGACGCACAGCCACUGGUCCACGUACACGUGCAUCGUCGCGAAGUCGAUCCCGGGGACGGCGUGGUUCCUGACGAAGUCCACGCCCUCGAGCUGCGCCCACGGUCCCGGGUUCGCGUACAAAUACAGCGGCGACGACGGCCCGAAGAAGGACUCGCUGCCGACCGUGAGCAAGUGAUUCGGAUCCAACGACUUGACGUGCGGGGUCAUCUCUUCGAUCCACGCUUGCAGCGCGUCGCCGGUGUUGCUCGAGACGUUGUACUCCAGACUCUUAUCCGACGAGCUUCGAACCUCCACGGUCAAAUCUUUCGUCGACCGCGGCUCGUUCAUGAGGUUCCACCCGAAUAUCGCCGGGUCGUCGCGGUAUCGAACGCCGGUGAAGGUGUUCACGCGCCCGAUCACCGCGGCGACGUGGUUCUUGUACAACCGGCGCGCGUACGGGUCCGAGAAGAAAUCGUCCCUGCACGCCAGCUCGCCGUCGCAGCGACCUUCGCCCGCGAGAAAGCUCCAUCUGUUGUACGCGUCCGCGCCGCCGUAGUGCUGCCAGUAGUUCGCGAAGGCGACGAGGAGUCGAAUCCCGCGUUUUCCCGCCUCCGCCACGGCGUAGUCUGAGGGUCGAGGGUCCAUACGAAGCGACGUCGGGGUGGAGUUGAGGGGUGCGCCAGUUGAAGUUGAAAGGCGUCGAUGUCGGGGAUUGAAACCGAGGGAUGGGCGGAGAGAUGCGCCGGCAAAAGUCCUAAAGGAACGGCGUUCACCGCGCCAACGCGGUCGUAUGGGAACCAGUCUGAGGAGAACGCGCCUAGGCCCCUGAACGUCGCCUCGUCGUACACUCCCGGCGCGCGUUGCAGCGCGCGCCACUCCCCGGCGCCGUCGCUGAACGCCCACGUUCGGAGGACGGUCACGCCGAGGUCCGCGGCGGCGUCUAAGACCUCGUCCACCUCGCAGCGGAACGUCGGGGACGCGCCGCGCACCAUGAGGUAAUACGUGUUCGAGCCGAGGAAGUAGAACGACUCGCAGCGUUCCGGUUCCGCGUCCGCGGGCGCGUUCGCUCCAGCCGCCGCGUCGGCGGCGAACGCGCGGACGGCGGGGGAGGACGGCGAUGACACGACGAACCGCGCGCCCGCGCGCUGGACGAAUCCGAGCGGCGGGCGCGGCGGCGGCGUCGUCGGCGACGUCGACGUCGCGUCUUCGUCUUCGUAGUAAAGGUAGUUCGUCCCUCCCGUCGCUUCCGCGCGCGCGACGCCGCCGCCGCCGCGGAGGAGCGCGAUAUGGAGAAGGAGGAGGAGCAGGAGAUAGGCGAGAGCGCGCGGCAUCGUCGUCGUCGGCGGUCGUGGCGUGGCGCGCGUCGCGCUGCGACGGGCGGCGCGCGACCCCCGCGCGAGAUAUUUUGAAACGCGCGCGCGCGGCGACGACGACCCCGAGACGAGACCUCGUCGCGCGCGCUGGCCCUCUCGUGUCGCCCUCUCAUCGGCGUCGUCCGAGGGGAGAUCGAGGGGAGCGGCGAGCGAAGCGACGCGCGCGCGAUUCCGACGCUCGGGCGUCGGACGCGCCGUCCUCGUCGGCGCGCACGUGGCGAGGAGAGACUGGCGCGCGAGUUCCGGCUCGUUCCGACUUUUCUUUAAGAGUUUCCGAGGCUCGGACGCCAGUCGCGUCUCCGCGCGGGCGCCGCGGGGCGAGCAUGGGCGCGUCGCUCGCGAAGCCGGCGGGGGACGGCAGCGACGACGGCGGCGGCGCGGCGGCGAACGACGCGCGACGACGAGCGGCGUCGCGCGACGGCGACGACGACGACGACGACGACGACGCGGCGGCGGCGGCGGCGGACGAAUCGGCACCCUCGUCGUCGUCGUCGUCGUCGUCGUCGUCGUCAUCUCGCGCCGCAGCCGCGCGUCCUCCUCCUUAUAACCGCCUCGGCGCCGACGACGUCGUCGUCAUCGCCGGCGGCGGCAUCGCCGGCCUCGCCCUCGCCGCGGCGCUCCAGUCCUCGCGCGCGAAGGUCAUCGUCCUCGAGCGCGAUCCCUCCGCCGCGGCGCGGCGGCAGGGCUACGGCGUCACGCUCUCCGAGACGAACGCCGCGCUGCGAGGUCUCGGAAUCUUAGACGACCUCCGCGCUCGGAACACGCGGAGCCGCGCGCACUGGACGUUCAAGUCCGACGGCGACGUGCUCGGGUACUACGGCGCCGCGUUCUUGCCGCGCGAGCGCGCGGGACCGUCGCCGGUGACGAAUCUGCGCGUGCCACGGAACGACGUCCGCGAGAUUCUCUUGAGGCGGCUCCGACCGGGGACGGUGCGCUUCGGCGAGCGCGCGGUGGACUACGCGGAGAGAGGCGACGGCGGCGUGGACGUCGUGGUCGAGUCCGUGGCGGCGCCGACGAGGGACGGGGGGGGAGAGGGCGGCGGCGGCGGCGAGGUCGACAAGGUCGGCGGCGGCGCGGGGAGGCUGCGAGACGACGACGCGCGGCUGCGCGCCGACCGAAAGACGGAGACGAUCCGAGCGACGCUGCUCGUCGCCGCGGACGGCGUGCGAAGCGCGAUACAGCGCCGCCGACUCGGGCCGAACGACGAGCUGAACUACCUCGGCGUCGUGCUGAUCACCGGGUUCACGACGUGCGACCACGCGCUGUUGCGAGGGCAGGGGUUUUACACUCUCGACGGCCGACGCGCGAGAAUGUUCACGAUGCCCUUCAAGCCGCCGACGGAGAGUAGUUCCGCGACGGACGCGGACGGGGACGCGUCUUCGUCUUCUCCCGGCGCGGCGACGUGGAAGAACAUGUGGCAGAUCAGCGUGAGGGUCACGGAGGAGGAGGCCAGGGCGAUCGCCGCGGCGCCGCGGACGCACCCGACCGCCGGCGCGAAGGCGUUCGUCGAGGCGCUCACCGCGUCCUGGCACGCGCCCGUCCAGGACAUGCUCGCGCACACGGACUGGGACGACGUCUGGGCCGGGCCGCUGUACGACCGCGACAGGCCGUCGCCGCCGCGCGCGAGGGGCGCGAAGCCGAGCUCGCGCGUCGUCGCGAUCGGCGACGCCGCGCACCCGAUGAGCCCGUUCAAGGGCAUGGGCGCCAACUCGGCGCUGUUCGACGCGUGGGGGCUGUCGUCGUGGCUCGCGCGCGCGCCGAUACCGAGCGCGAUCGCGAGUUUCGAGCGCGAGAUGAUCACCCGGGCGUGGGCCAAGGUGGACGCGAGCAGAGCCGCGUGCGAGGUGUUCCACGGGCCGGAGGCGUUACGCGCGGCGCCGGAGUUCGCCGGCGUUGACCCCGCGGCGGCGGCGACGUUUUUACGCGCGCUCAAGGCGAACGACGUCAACGCGGCGUCGGGCGAGGCGUUGGAGAGCGAGACGAGACGCGUGAUGCUCGAGACCGUGAUGCGCGAGGACGGGGUCAAGCCGUACGUGUACCAAAAGAAGAACGACCGGGGGAACGACGCGGCGGCGGGCGACGCCGCGAAGGAGGAGGAGGGAGAGGAGGAGGACCGGGGGAGGGCGCGGACGCCGCCGCCGCUCGAGCCGCCGCUCGAGCCGUCGUCGUCGUCGUCGUCGUCGUCGAGCGCCGGCGGCGGCGGCGGCGGCGUCGAAUCGCCCGAGCUCGCCGACGUCGUCGAGGCCGCGAUCGUCUCCGCGCUCGCGUCGUUAUCCCUCCCUCCGAUCGAUUCUGACGCGUCGGACGAUCGCGAGGCGGCGCGCGCGAUACACGCGGCGUCAAAGUAUAGCAAAGGGACGAAACGCCCCGCGCACGACUUCAUCUCUCGCGCGGCGUUGAAGCUCACGCACGGAAGACGAACCGUCAACCGACACCACCAGGACAAUGCCCCGGACCGGGCCCCGGUCCCGGACGCCGGCGUCCUCGCGCGCGCGAUCGCGGACGCGCUCAACGCGCGCGCUUUCGACGUGAACGACGAUGCGGCGCGCGGCGCCAUCGCCGCGGCGAGGGCGUCGCCGAGCGCGGACGGCGUGCUCUUCAUCACCACCCGCGCUCGAGACGACGACAUGCGACGGAAAGGCCUCGCGAUGUGCGCCGGGUGCGGGCAGUACUACGCCAUGCACGGCGGCGGGUUGAGGCAGCACUGGGCGAGAGGGGGCACGACGCAAGCGUGCGCGGCGGCCGCGGAAGCGGCGAGGAGCGCGUCGCUGACGGACGAAGAGGCGGCGGCGAAAAUCGGGAGAGGCGGCGUUUUCGGCGGCGGCGUUCGGGACGGUGGCGGAAAAAAAACGUCCGGUAACGGAGCGUUUUCUCGCGGCUCCACGAACGCGGAGAGCUCGUCCUGGCGGGGCAGCGGCGCCGGACGCCCGGCGCCGUGGAGGGAGAAGAAGAACAACGAAGAGACGCUGUGCGCGGGGCUCGCCGCCGCAGCCGCCGGCGACGUCGACGGCCUUGUCGCCGCCGAAAAAAAUGCGGGCGCCGGCUUCGACCCGCGCGAGACCGUGGACGCGUACGGCAGCGGCGCGCUGCACUGGGCCGCGGGCGGCGGCCACCUCCGCGCGUGCGAGUGGCUCGUGGACGCGCGCGGCGUCUCCGUGACGAGAUCGCUCAGGAAGGACGGCCGCACGCCGUUGCACUGGGCCGCGAGAAACGGCAGGCUGGAGACGUGUCGAUGGCUUCUCCAGGCGCGUUCUAUCUCACACUGGUCCCCAUACGACCCCGUUCGCGAGGUGGACGCUGAUCCUUAAGGACUUUUCUUCCCGGCGCAUCUCUCCGCCCGCCCCUCGGUUUCAACGCCCGCCCUCGACGCCUUUCAACUCCAACUGACGCCUAUGAACUCCACCCCGACAUCGCUUUGUAUGGAACGACCCUCAGCGCGGCGCCGACGCGUCCGCGAAAACCUACGACGGCGACGGCGCGUUCAACCUCGCGGUGUGGCGCGGGCACGUGGACGUCGCGUCGUGGCUCGCGUCUCUGCCCGGCGUGGACGUGCGGGCGACGAACCGGUGGGGAUGCAACGCGGUUUUGUGGGCGUGCAUUCAGCACGACCCGCGCGGCGGCGGCGGCGGCGGCGGCGGGCGUCUGAUUCGCGCGAAGACGAAGAAGACCGAGGGCGAAGCCGAUACCGAAACGGCCGCUCACAGUCCAUUACAUACGGUGAAGUGGCUCAUCGAGACCUUACGCGUCCGCGCUGACGUCGUGAACGUGAACGGGCACAGCGCGAUACACAAGUGCGCGAUAUACGGCCACGGGGACGUCAUCGCUUAUCUCCUCUCGGAGACGAGCUGCCGCGAAGCGAAGCACAUGGGCAGGGACGACCGCGGGAGCACGCCGAGCGACCUCGCCGCGCAGAACGGGUUCGACGAGCUCGCCGCGCAGUUGAGAGAGAUCGAGGACGAGACGAUGAGGCUGCCGGUGGUUUUUGACGGCGGCGGACGCGGCGGCGAGGCGUGACCGGCGAACGGACGCGGAUCUACGAGUUACCUUCUUUCGAUUUUUUUAUCACAGACCAGACGCGAGCGCGACGCCGCGCCGUCUCCACUGGUCCAUCACGUUUACGUUUCGCUCCUUCGCGCUCGCUGCACGCGUCUCCUCACGUCCGCACCGACGCGGUCGAGCUCCGCUCUCGUCUCCCCGCUCAUGACGUCCUCGUCCCCCCACCUCCCGCCGCCGCCGUCGCCGCCGUCGCGCUUCUUCUCCCCCCGCCCGCGUCGCCGCCCCGCCUCGGCCACGGCGCGCCGCACCGCCUUCUCCGCCGCUUUGCGCUUUCUCUCCACCGCGACGACGUCGCCGCGUCCCUCGCUCAGCGGCCGCCCGAGCGCGUCCGUCGUCACCGGCGUUUUCGGAAUAGGCGGCGUGUUCUCGUCCUCUUCCGCGCGCGCGUCCUCGCGAUGCUUCGCCACGCGCGCGCGGAUUCGCUGGUCCUCCGCGGUCAUCACAUCUCUCGUCUCGUCGUCCAACCGCGCGGCGGCUUUCACGCCGAGCGUCUCGCCCGUCGCGUCGCGCACCGCGGCGACCGCGUCCGCGACCUCCCGACGCACGCGCUCGAGCUCCUCCGCGCGCCGGACCUCCUCCGCGGCGGCGGCGGCGACCUCGUCGUCGCCCACGUCGCCGUAGUGUACCGCCGCGGGGUCCGCGACGGCGGAGGUAAUAAUCCUCGACGACGACGACGCGCGCGGGGAACCGCGCACGGAGUCGUACCCGUCGCCGCUCGCGCUCGCGCUCGCGCUCGCGCGCGCGUCAUCGCCGGGGCGGCUGGAGCAGCAUCCCAUCGCGCGACGACGACGGACGGCGCCGGGGCGGGGUGGGAUGCGAGCGGACAGACGCUCGUCAGACGGAAAGUCAACUUUGAAACAGCAGCAGCAGCGCGCCUCGGGCCUCGAGCAGCUCGCGGGGCGGGAUCGCUCGAUAGCCUCGAUUCGUAGUAGUGUACACGUGUAUCCCUAUGUGUUUUUAGUCAGAUAAAAAGUACCGCGUCCUACGUCAGCAAAAAGGAGAUCGGCACGUUUUUCGCGCGGCGAGUAAAAAUGCAUUUGGCGCCGCCGCCCGCCGCCCUCCGAACGACGCGUCGCUCACUAUGCAUCCUUCCUUUGACAAUCAAUUCACGACUACUCAUCUAUUAACAACUUAUCCUAGAGCUCUCCAAAAACAACACGUCUCCCGACGCGCGCGCUCGUCCUUCGGAUCGCCGGCGCGCGGCUCUCUGACAAAAUCCAAAAGAUAUUAUUUGAUCGUCGACCGUCGAUCCGUCCAACCCCCCCAGGUCGGAUCACUGCGCCAUCGACAGCGACGCCGCGGACGCGCGCGUCGACCCGCGCCGAUACCGCCCGAAGUUCUCCUUCCUCCGAAUCGUCCUCAACAUCUCCGGCUUCCCUCUCUGGAACGCGUCGUUGCUGAACACGUACGACCCGUCCUCCGCGAUCGCGCCGGCGAAGCCGUAGAUCGAGAGCUCGUUCACGAACGACCCGAACGACGGCGUGAAGAGCCCGGCGAUCUUGGGGAGGCGCUGGCACAGCGCGUUCACGUCGUGGACGACGAACGACUUCCCGGUCUUGUCCCAGGAGAUGAUCGCGUUCGUCUUCGCGUCGUUCACCAUGUUGAACGUGCGGCUGAUGGGAACGGGAGAGGGCCCGGGGGGGGGGGGGGUAGCGAGCGCGUCAGCGGCGAGCGAGAUCUUGAUUUAUUCCUCGAGGUCGGACGACAACGCGCGCGCGCGAGGAGAGGAGGGAGAGAGAGGGGCGCGAGCGACGACGCACGUGAGGAACGUCGGGAUUUGCGCGGACGCAACGCCCUGGACGGUCCACGGCAGCGGGGUCGUCAUCGCGUGCGGUGCUCGGUGGCUCGCUUUUCGGUGCUGACGAUGAAUGAAUGCGUGUGCGUUUUCGUUUUCGUUUUCGUCUUCAAUUAUUAAAACAAAAAAUCACGCGCCCUGCACGCCGCCUCAAAACACCGACGACCGAUGACAACAGACUCAUCAAAACACCGGCACGCUCGGCGGCCGCGUCGGCCGCACCGCGCCCUCCGGCAGCGGCACCGGCCCGCCGCCCGGGACGUUGCACGCCUCGAUGUCCGCGUACUCCUUCCUCACCUCUUCCCACACGUGCUCCGCGAGCGCGACGGUCAGAUCCGCAUCCUCGGGCAACCCUCUCGCCCACGCCGCCGUGGACGCGUCGACGUCGAUCUCGGGCCCCAGCGACAGCCCGCACCCGGUGAAGUUGACGACGCGCUCCUCGCCGAUGGAUUUCUCCUUCGCCGCGGGCGGCGGCAUGAUGUCGUACGUCGCCAUCGCGAGCGGGUAGAAGUGCGUCUUCGCCGCGCCCUUCUUCGUGCCGAGCUUGCGGAGCAUCUCGAUCGCGGCCGGGUCGAACUUGUCCGGGGUGAUCGUGCCGUCGGGUUGGCGGCGGUCGCGGCCCCCCGCGGGCGCGAUCCAGAUGCAGACGCCGCCCGCUUUCAGCAGCUUUUGCAUCUCCUUGACCGUGUUCAGGUUCUGCUUCAUCUUCGCCGACUUGAGCGACGGGUCGUCGUUCAUGUGCUUCUUGCUGUGCACGCACAGGAGGUUCUUCCCCAUGCUGAACGGCUUGCACAGGAGGUCGGUCACGACGCGGUCGCCCGCGACGUACGUCACCUGAGGGAGGAGGGUCGUUUCCCACGGUGCGACGAAGCGACAGUCGUCGGGGCGGAGUCGAGGGGCGCGUCAGAUGGACUCGAAAGGCAGGCGUCGAGGUAUGUCGUGAUGUGAUUGGUGAUUGAAACCAGCGAGGGAUGAGCGGAGAGAAUCGCCGGGCAAAGUCCUUAAGGAACGGCGUUCACCACGCCAACGCGGUCGUAUGGGGUCCAGCGCGAGGAGAACAAAAAACGCGCCUUCUCGCCGAGGCCCGGAUGGGACACCUCCGUGAGCAGCGGGAUGAACGCGGCGUCGCCCUCGGACUGGUGGUUACCCAGGAAGACGACGUUCUCGCCGCGAUCGAGCGCGGCUUUCGCGUCGGUGAAGCGCUCCGGGUAGCGCAGGAUCGAUCGGUCGAACUCGACGAGCGACCCGAUGUACGCGUUGGCCAUCUGAUAGUAAUCGAAGUCUGAGUUUUCCUUCGUCAUGCAGAUGUGAUGCGACGGGAACUCGUACGGCGUCCCGAUGAGCUGCCCCGCGUACGCUUUCAUCAUGUCCUUGAAGAUGGACACGAGCGCGGCGGACGCGCGCGCCUCGUCGUUCCCGGUCGCCUUCAUCAUCUGCGCCUUGUACGAGUCGAUGAGCCCGAGGAACGUGUUCUUGUACUUCUCCGGGAGGACGCCCGCGAGCGAUCGCAGCCCGGACUCGCCCGGGAGGAGCGCGAUGGCCAGGCGCGCGGCGCCCACCUUGAACGACUCCAUCGCGUCCGCGGACGCGGUCGCGUUCGUCGCGGACGUCGACGCCGCGGCGCUCGGCUUGGUCUUCGUCUCCACGGCUUGCGCGCGGACGACGACGCCGACGCGGUCGCGGUCGCGGCGGAGGGACGCGGCGCGCGGCGCCGGCGCCGCGGCGCCGCGCGCGGCGCGGCGGGACAGCGCCGCGGGCGCGCGGGGCGCGGACCCGAGGGCGGCCGCGGGGGCGGCGAGCGAGGAGGUCAUUCUUCUCGUCGGAGCGGUCGCGAGGCGCAGGGGCGUGCGGAAUGGAGCGACUUCGUUAUCGCGACAACUGGACCCGCUGGAUUUUCGGGGCUGAGAUCGCUCGAGCGUCGCGCGUGCCCUUGGCGCAGUGCGAAUUUGUAGUUUUGACGCGUACUGUACUACGCUACGCUACGGCGGGCGCGUUCGAAAAAGCUGCUUCAGAGAAUCUCGUUCCCCCGCGCGGCUCGCCGCACACACGUCCGCGCGACCGCACGUCCCGCGCGUCCGUCGCACAGCGCUCUCGCGUCCGAAGCGCGAGUCCCCGCGCGCGAACGACCGCGCGUCGUCCGAAGCGCGACCGCGCGCGAGAGGCUCGCUCUUCCCCGUCGUUCGCGGAAGGGAGGCUCGCGUCGGAGAGAAGAAAAUAAAAUCAGAGGCGGCGUCCGACCGACGAGCGGGAUGGCGAACGCGUCGUCCAUCGGGCUCCAGAACCCGGCGUUCUUCGUCGGGCGCGCGGAGCUCUUAGAUUGGGUCAACGGCCUCCUGAACCUGCGCCUGACGAAAGUCGAGCAGGCGCGUCCGCGGAACCGCGCCCCGCGCCCCGCGCCCCGAGGACGGGAUCUCGUCGGAUUAUUGAGAUUUUCAUCUCUUCGUUCGUCUCGCGCUCUCGUCCUCCUUCGAUAGAUUCGAGACGCUCACCCCGUCCCCUCCGUCCGUCCGUCCGUCCAUCCGUCCCCUCCCCAGGUCGCGUCCGGGGCGGUGCACUGCCAGAUCCUCGACGCGUGCCACCCCGGCGUGGUGAACAUGUCCAAGGUGAACUUCGACGCGAAGAGCGAGUACGACAUGGUGAAUAACUACAAGACGCUUCAGACGGUGUUCGACAAGCUCAAGGCGCGUUCGUUCUCCUCACACCGGUCCCCGUACGACCGCGUUCGCGCGGUGCACACGGUUCUUUAAGAAGAACUAUUUUUUCUUCCCGCGCGCGUCUCUCUCCGCCGCCCCUCGCUGCUUUCAACCCCGACACACCUCGACGCCUUUCGACUCCAUAUCUGACGCCUUUCGACUCCCGCCCCGACGUCGCUUCGCGCUCUUAACGGCGCUCAGAUCACGCGGAUGAUCGAGGUGAGCAAGCUCGUGAAGGGAAGGCCGCUCGAUAACUUGGAGUUUCUGCAGUGGAUGAAGGCGUACUACGACACCGCGACCGGGGGCGUGAGGCCGGAGGAUUACGACGGCGAGGAGCGAAGGGCGUGCAGCAAGGGUGGGAAAAAAGCGAGCGGCGGCGGCGGCGGCGGCGGCGGCGCGAAGCCCGCCGCGUCGAGGCCCGCGGCGUCGAGGCCCGCGGCGUCGACCGCGUCGAAACCGGCGUCGACCGCGUCGAAACCGGCGUCGACCGCCUCCUCGACCGCGGCGGCGAACGCGGCCGCGGUCAAGGAGCUCACCGCGGAGUGCGCGGAGCUGAAACUCGCAGUGGAGCGCACGGAGCAAGAGCGCGAGUUUUACUUCGAGAAGCUCCAGGACAUCGAGUUUCUCUGCCAGCGCCCGGAGUUUGCGUCGCAGACGCUCGCGAAGGUGGUGGAAAAGAUUCUGUACUUCACGGAGGGGAAGCCGGACGUCGAGGCGAUCAUCGCGGAGUGCGGCGAAGAGGCCGCCGCCACCGCCGCCGCCGCCGCCGCGCCGUCCCCCGCGGAGCCUCUCUCGACGCCCGCGACGGAGGACGACCUCGACACCACGGUCGAGGCCGUCGUCGAGAACAUGGAAUCCCUGACGGUGGCGCCGGAGACGGAGACGGAGACGGAGACGUCGGAGGCAGCGGCGAGCGACGCGCCGACGGCGACGCUCUCGGACUCGCCGUUGUGCACGCAGCUCAGCGGGGAUCUCUCGGGGAGUGCCGAUCGAAGCCCGCUCGCGGAGGUGAACGCGUGAGACGGUUCGCUCGCGGGAUCCGACGAACGAACGAACUCGAACAGAAAUCGAACGGUUGUAUUACGACUCUGUACAUACGUCGCCCGCGCGUCCGACGCUCUCGCUCCGCGGCGGGCUGUCAUGCGACGAAUCGAUCAUUAUUUUUCCGUCUGUCGUCGCCGUCACGAAUUUUUAUUAGAAAGCACGUUCUUCCUUUCCCCCGCCACUCCGCGCGACGCCUUCGAUCGCCGCCGCCGCCACCGCUGCCGCGAUGUCGUGCACGCUGCACACGAACCUCGGGGACCUCAAGGUCGAGCUCUUCUGCGAGGACACCCCGCGAGCGGCGGAGAACUUCUUAGCCCUGUGCGCGAGCGGGUACUACGACGGCACGUCGUUCCACAGGAACAUCAAGGGGUUCAUGGUUCAGGUUCGCGCUCCCCGCCCCCGUCCCCGUCCUCGUCCCCGAUCGCGCGUCGACGUCGUCGCCCGGCCCGCCGCCCCGCUCCGCCCCGACGCGCGCUGACCUUCGACCUCUCGUCCGUUCCGCACGUCUUCGUCGGCGCAGGGAGGCGAUCCCACGGGCUCGGGAAGAGGCGGGCAGAGCGUCUGGGGCGGGAAGUUCCCGGACGAGAUCCGGGACAACUUGAAGGUGCGCUCUCCUUCACACUGGUUCCCAUACGACCCCGUUCGCGUGGCGAACGCCGUUUCUUGAGGACUUCGCCCGGCGUUUCUCUCCGCCCACCCCUCGCUUUCGAUCCCCGCCCUCGACGCCUUUCAACUCCGCUUCUGACGCCUUUCAACUCCACCCCGACGUCGCUUCGUAUGGACCCUCGACCGUGAAGCACACGAACCGAGGGAUCCUCUCCAUGGCGAACAGCGGCCCGGACACGAACAGGUCGCAGUUUUUCUUCACGUACGCCAAGGCGCCGCACCUGAACGGGAAGAACACGAUAUUCGGGAAGAUCAUCGACGGGUUUCAGGUCCUGGACAUGUGCGAGAAGACGCCCGUGGACGAGAUGGACCGGCCGCUCGCGGAGAUUCGCGUCAACAAAGUCACCAUUCACGCGAAUCCGCUCGCGCGAUGACGCGACGACGACGACGACGACGACGCGAUGCGAUGCGAUGCGGGGGAUAUCUGGUCUGAUGGGGUUAUUUUAGAUCUAGCGGGGGCGGCGGCGAAUUCUUUAGAAGCGCGGGAGCGACGACGGCGACGGGCGGAGGCUAACGCGAGGUGGUUCAGUCCAAAAAUGUCUACCGCGCGUACGUCGCUAACGACGAUCCGAUCGAACGAUCGAACGAUCUACUCCCCGCGCUCGAUCCUCGCGAGGUCGUACACCUGCCGCAUGCUCCCGCUCGUGAGCAGCCACUCCUUGAAGUACGCCUGAAUCGUCGCCUGAAGCUCCCGCUUCUGGUCGUCGUCCAACCCGGCGUCGCGCAUCGCCGCGCGCAACGACGCCACGGACCUGACCUUCUGAUCCAGCGCCCGCACGUACGCCUCCGGGACCGAGAACGGGUUCGCCUGCGUCGAGCUCGAGCUCGAGCUCGAGCCGCCGUCGCCGUCGCCGUCGCCGUCGCCGCCGCGGAACGGGACGAUGAACGGCGCGAACUUCUCCGCGGGGAGCAGGUCUACGACGCUCGACUCGUUCGAACCCCCGCGCGAGCCCCCGCCGCCUGAACCGCCGCUCGACCCGGGCCCGGACCCGGACGCGCCCCCGCCCCCGCCCCCGACCCCCGACGCGAUGACCACGGGCCGGUCCCACGCGUCGCACUGCUUGCCGCUCAGCCCCGCGCGUCUCAGGUGCGCGUCGAGCUCCUCGUAGAAGGUGUUAUACGGCGCGACGCGAUUUCUCCGGCACUGAGGGUCGUUCCAUAGGAGCGAACGUCGGGGUGGAGUUGAAAGGCGUCAGAAGCGGAGUUGAAAGGCGCCGAGGGUGGAUAUUGAAAGCGGGGGACCCUGGGCGGAGAGACACGAUGGCAAAAGUCCUUAAGGAUCGGCGUUCACCACGCCGACGCGGUCGUAUGGGGACCAGUGUGAGAUAGAACGCACCUCGCCGAUGAAAAUCGGCCCGCGCGCGAUGCCGAGGUAGAACACGCUGUCGUGCACCGACCGCGCUUGCAGCCUGCGCGACGCGCAGACGACGUUCAGGCGCUGGCACGACUCCACCUUCACCGCGCGCGCCGCGGCGCCGACGACGACGACGCAGUCCGCGCACUAAGUGACGGUCGCGUACGAAGUGAUGAUAUCAGGGUGGAGUUGAAAGGCGUCAGACGGAGUUGAAAGGCGUAGAGGGCGGGGAUUGAAAGCGAGGGGUGAGCGGAGAGAUGCGCCGGGAGAGAAAGUCCUCAAGGAUCGGCGUUCACAACGCGGACGGGGUCGUAUGGGGACCAGUGUACAGAACGCGCCUGAGUGACGGUGGCGUACUCCGCGGGCGCGAGGAGGUAAAUCACCGCGUCGUGGCAGUUGGAGACGCGGAGGGAGGACCCCGGAGGGACGUCCGACGCCGUCCGCACCGCCGUGCCCUUGUGCACGCCGUCGAUUAUCACGACGUCUUUGUUGUGAUGCUGCGCGUUGGCGAACGCCAAGCGCUUGGAGACCCAAUCUUUGAUCGCCGCCGCCGUCGCGGUCUGUUUGCCCCCCCCGAAGAGCCCGGUCGUCGCGCUGAAGCUAAACGACGACGCCGCGCCGCCGCCGCCGCCGCCGCCGCCGCCUCCUCCCGCGCUCGGGGCGAAUAUAAAGUCUAGGCAGUCCGCCUCGCGCGCGGUCAGCUCGAGGUCCCCCCCUCCCCCUCCCCCUCCCCCGCCGCCCCCGCCGCCGACGCCGACGCCGCCCGCCGCGACACGGUUCGGCGACCCGUCCUUCUGCGCCUUCCCCCCAACCUUCGCGUCGUCGUCCACGCACAAACCCGCGAGCGCGACGAAGUGAUGCAACACGAACUUCGCGCGCAGGAUCUCCGUCUCCGCGGCCUUCCCCCCGCCCGCCGCGCCGCCGCCGCUCCCUCUCGACCCGGGCGACCCCGGCGCCUCCCUCCCCGGGGACGACCGCGGCGAGCUCCCGCCGCUUCCCGCGCCGCCGUUAACGCCGCCAUCGCACGUCGUCGCGUCCAAUGCGGCGUCCCCGGCGAUCGGCCACUCUUCCGUGCCGCCGGACUCGCGCAUCGCGGACUGCGCGUGCGCGCGCGCGUACGUCUGGACGAACAGGUAGAGAAGCAGCGCGCGAACCUCGAUCUCCGCGUUCGCGUCUGACGCCGCGUUCGCGUCCCCGACGCCAUCUUCCGACGGGCUCACCGCGUGGAACAGCUCGAACGCGUUCGACGCGACGACGUGAGAGAUCCCCAGGCACUGCGCCGCGUCCGCGUGCGAGACGACGAGCUUCGAGGGGUCCGACGCGGACGCGGACGCGGCCGCGAGGAGGCGCUUUUGAAUCGGAAUCAGCGCGGCGACGGUCUCGACGCGCGGGAGGAGGUACGAGGUCGGGAGGAGGCCGAACUCGAACGGCUCGCGUCGGAGCGUUAUCGCCGGCGGGGGCGACGACGCGGUCGCGGGACCUGGACGGAGACGGACGGUGGGGGGCGAGGGGAGCGGCGCGGCGUCAGCGAACGAACAUCUUCAUCUUCAUCUUUCCAACGUCGCCUUUUUGCCCGUUGGCACGCGACGACCGAUCGAUCGCGCGCGGUCGCCGCGCGGCGGGAGAGAUUCGAGCGGGCUGGCACGAGGGACGACGCACCCGCGUUGGCGGCCGCCAUGUCGAUCGCGCGGUCGAGGGGACCGCGGUCGACGCUUCGCGUGACGAGGCGCGGACGCGUGUGCGAGGCGUCGCAUCGGAAAGUCCCGCGUUCUGCAGGCGUCGGACCAGGGCUGGGCGUGGGUGGAAAACUCGAGAUCUGGCGCGUUUUUUUCAGCCGUCGCGCGUCUCAGCGCUCUGGCGACGCGAGGACGAGGACGAGCGCUGCUUUCAAACGCGACGUGAUUAUUUUGCACGACGCCACACGAUACUAUUUAUCCCCGCGCGAGACGAGACCCCGUCGCUCGUCCGCCUUCGCCCCCGCUCGCUCCAGUCGUCUUUUCGACUCGCGACGAUCGUCCAUCGGAUCAUCAACGAUCGUCCAUCGGAUCGUCAACUCUUGCCGUCGUAGUCGGCGGGCAUGUCCCACGUCGUCGACCCGUCGAUGGUGUUGUAGUAAUACGUGUACCCCUCCGGCGACUUGUGCGCCUCCCACAGCGGCUUCGCGCCGUCGCCGCCGUCCGCGCCGGCGGACGCGGCGGCGUACCCGCCCGUCCCGCCGCCGCCGCCGCGACCCAACCCCGGCUCGUACGGCCGCGGAUCCUCCCCCGGCAAGCCCCCGGGCUUCAUGUACACCGUCGGGCCCUCGUCGAUGAUCGCCUGCACGAGCGCGAUCGCGGCGUCGACCUGAUCUUGCCUCCCGCUGAUCGUCACCGACGCCGCGUCCUUAUCGAUCUGGAUCUUCGCGCCCGUCCGCGCGCACAGAUCGCGAAUGGAGUCGCCGCCCUUUCCGAUGAUCUUCCCCUCGCAACCCCCCGCGGGCAUCACGUGCCGGACCGUCCCGCCGCCGCCGCCCCCGCCGCCGGCGGUGGGCGGCGGCGCGUUGAGGAUAUCGAGGACGAGCUCUUUCGCGCGCGUGCACUCGUCCGCCCCGCCCUUGAUCAUGACCCUCCCGAGGUCGCGCUCGACUUGCAUCCUCGCGCCGGAUUCUUCCUGCAGCCGGCGAAUCGUCUCGCCGCCGCGGCCGAUGACGCGUCCGAUCAUCUCCGUGGGGACCGGCACGGGCAUCUCGAUCUGGUUCGAAUCGCGCCCGCCGCCGCUGUGGCCUCCUCCUCCUCCUCCCGGUAACGACGCGCGCGAGUGCUUCAGCUCCGUCUCGCGGAUGAUGUCGUUCACGAGCUGCGCGGCGUCGGCGACGGCGCCCGGGACGCCCGAGAUUGUGAUGCGUCGCGGCUGCCCGGGGACGACCUCGUGCGAGGGCUGAAUCUUGACGUGCGCGCCGGACUUGGCCUGGAUGGAGUUGAUCGUGUCGCCGCCGUGGCCGAUGAUCUUCCCGGCGGCUUCCGUGGGGCACAUGAUCUCUUCGUACGCGGCGCCGGGGAUGGGGGCGCCGCCGCCGCCGCCGCGCGACCCGCCGCCGCCGUACCCCGGUCCCGGUCCCCCGCCGCCGCCGUACCCCGGCCCCGGCCCCGGCCCGCCGCCGUACCCGCCGCCGUACCCCGGCCCCGGCCCGGGACCCAUCCCCAUGCCGCCGCCCAUCGGCGGCCCCGGGGGACCGCGCUGGUACCGCGGAUCCGGCCCCGGCCCCGGCCCCGGCCCCGGCCCCGGCCCCGGCCCCCCAGGUCCCAUGCCCAUCCCUCCACCUCCGCCGCGCGCGCCUCCGUACCCGCCGUACCCGCCCUGGUGCAUCCCCGGCGGCGGCGGGAGCGGGCCGAGCCCGCCGCCGCCCAUGUUCGGCGGCGGCGGGGGGAUCUGCUGCUGCGCGUAUCCGCCGCCGCCGCCGCCUCGCGGCGGGCCGUACCGAUCGUACGAGUCGCCGCCGUAGCCUCCUCCGGAGGGACCGGGCCCGCGCGGGCCGCCGCCGCCGCCGCCGCCGCCGUACGGGUGAUGGCGGUCGCGAUCGUCCGCGUACCCUCCGGGCCCCUGCGGCGGGCCUUGCUGGUCGUCGUACCCCGUCGUCCCGCCUCGGGGUCGUCUGCGCGCGAGGGAGAGGGAGCGCGGACGCGAGGAAGGUGAGACGAUCGGACGAUCGAUCGAUCGAAUGCGCGGAGAGAGGAGGGAGAGGGAAAUAAAUCGCGGAGCCGCGCGGACGGCCGGGCGGAUCUCGCGCGAUCGGCGCGGGGUGGCGACGCGCGAUCGAGCGCGAGACGCGCCUGCUUCGAGGGUCCAUCGCGAUGGGGGACCGCGAGUGCGUCACGCGCGAUCGAUCGCGUCGGCGUCGCCGUGCGGGCGAGCUUUGGCGCGCGAUCUCAGUCCAGGCGGGACAUUAUUGCGACUGGACGUCGCCGCGCGCGCGCGUCCGCCGCGCCGCGCCGCGCCGUCCGACCGGCGAAAAGAAAAAUGCGACGAUUAUUAACGCCCGCCGCGACCGCGCCCCGACGCACCCGGCGACGCGCAGAACACGCGGCGAUGACGCGUGUUGCGACCCUCCCCGGGGCGCUCCUCCGACUCAAUCUCCGAUGCCUGCGUCCGAGCGGCGGCGGCCGCGUCGCCGCGUCGAGGGCGCCGCUCGCCGCGCGGCGCGCGCCCGCGACGACGACGACGUCCGUCUCCUCCUGGCGCAUGGGCGGAGGCGGCGGCGAGGGACGGACGACGGAGGAACCGCCGCCGCGGUCGUCGCCGCCGUCGUCGAGAGAUCGCUACGGCUACGGCGACGACGACCCGAGCGACUUCGAGGACGACGGCCCCCGCCCAGGAAGGCGCGGAGGAGGAGGAGGAGGAGGAGGAGGACGCGGCGCUGGACGACGCGGAGGAGGAUUCGCCAAUAAUAAUUCCCACGCGGACCGCCGGAAUCCGUACUACACCGCGGAAUCGUCCUCCUCCUCCGCGCCUCGAGGCGGCCGCCGCUCGCGCGACCGCGGCGCCACUCACGACGCCGACGCGCAACCGCGAACGGUGUGGCAAGAGCGCCACGACGAGAAGAAGCGCAACCGCGCGGAACCGACGCUCGCGGAGCGAAUGACGGGCGAGGCGUUGUACGGAUUAAAUCCCGCACGCGCCGCGUUGCGAGACGCGGCGAGGCGAGCGCGCGCCGGCGCCGCCGCCAGGCGGACCAUCUACCGGAUGUUCGUGCAGGAGGGCUCCGACGCCUCCGGCGACGCCGCGCUGCUGCGCGCGGCGAGGGACGCGCGCGUCGAGAUCGAGACGGUGUCGAAGCACGAUCUGAACGUGCUCACCGGGUCGCCGCCGCGGCCGCACAACGGCGUCGUCCUGGACGCGUCCGCGCUGACGCCGACGCCGAUCGAUCAGCUCCCGAGAUGGGUCCACGGUGAAGGGUCGUCUACGGUGAAAGGGCCCGCGCCGGUGUGGCUCGCGUUGGACGAGGUCGUGGACCCGCAGAACUUGGGCGCGGUGCUCCGGAGCGCCAAGUUUUUGGGCGUCGCCGGCGUCGUCGUGUGCGCCAAGAACAGCGCACCGUUGUCGCCCGUCGUGAGCAAAGCGUCCGCGGGCGCGCUCGAGAGCAUGGACGUGCGAAGCGUCGGUGUGAUGCAUCGGUUCUUGAUGCGGUGCGUCGAGGACGGGUGGGACGUUUACGGCACCGCCGCGGAGGAGGGCGCCGCGGACGUCGCCGACGUCGACGCGAGGGGAAGGCCGAGCGUGUUGGUGAUGGGUAACGAGGGCGCGGGGUUGAGGACGAACGUGCGGCGGGCGUGCACGAGCAUGCUGAGAAUCGCGGGCGGGGGGGGGGAGGGGGACGACGACGACGGUGUGGACAGCCUGAACGUGUCCGUCGCGACCGGAGUCAUACUGCACGCGAUGCUGACGUCCGCGCGGCGGGCGCCAGCUGUCGCGGAGGAGUGAGCGGGACGCGUCGACACGUUUAAUGAUGAUGAGUCAUAAUCUGAUUAUCAACAUUAUUAUCUCGCUUACUCAACGCUCACCUCCUCGUCGCGCCCUCCGCGCGCGCCUCGACGCGCUGCCGGAACCGCUCCAACCCGAGCUCCCACUCGUCUAUCCCUAACCCUCGCGGCGUCCGCACGACGACCGGUCCCUCGCCGCUGCGCGCCUCCACGCACCCGCGCGCCACCGCGCCGCAGUGGUCGCCCCAGUUGCAGUCGUCGAAGAACAGCAUCUCGUCGUACGCGAUCCCGGUCUCGCGUCGCAGGAUCGGGAAGUGCGUCGCCGCCUUAUCGCUGGACAGCGGCGGCGUGCGACCGAUCUGGAGGUUCCCCUCGAACCCCGCCGGCCACCCGAUUGAAAACGCCUCCCUCGCGGUGACCCCCGGGAAAAUCUCCAACACGUCCAGCGCGCUGCGUCCGAUGCGCACCGCGAGCGGCGUGUCCGCGCUCGACGCCGCGGCGAUGCGCAUGCCCGGGUACUCCCCCGCGUGGAAGCGCUGCAGCGCGCGCAUCGCGCCCGGGUGGAUGCGGAUGACGACGUCGGCGCCGCUUCGCGCGCCGACGACGCCCUCGAGGCCGCUGUCGCCGAGCUCGCCGACGACUUGUUCCGCGGACGCGUCCACGAGAUGUCGCAGCGUGUACAUCUCUUCGUUCCAGAAGCACGCGUCGAGGUCGAAGACCGCGAGCCGCGGGUAGGGAUCGCUUGGGGAGGACGGCGACGGCGACGGCUCGGCGAAGGAGGAGGAGGAGGAGGAGGCGGACGCGCCGGACGCGCGCAUCGCGACCGAUGGACGACGACGACGUCGACGCGCGGCGCCGCCUCCCGCGGCGGUUUCGGCGUCGCGCGUCGCGCCGCGAGGGACGACGUUCGCGAUGCGCGUCGCGCCGACGCCGAGCGCGAGCGCGGGGGUCAUGAACGACCGCGCCCGGGCGCGAUGUGGACGCGGUGUCGCGUGCGGGGUCGCGAUCCCGCGCGGCCGACGAUGACGGAUACAUUUCCGCAGCCGGCCACGGAACCAGCAGCGUUCCGAGCUACGGAGAAACUCGGCUUUUUUUUCACCCACCCGUUCCUUUCAAAACGUGCCCGUCGCGCCUUUCAACUGUAUGAAGGAACAUCUUAGUCGAAGGGAUUUCCUAUGAAGGGAUUUUCGCCGAAAAAAUCCCUUCGCGCAUUGCACCGAAUGGUUUAAAGGAAAAGUCCUGACUGACCGCGUGUAGGCUGUUGGAUUCUUGGCGUUCAACUGACCGAUGAACGAUCGAUUUCAUCGAGAGCACUCGAACGACACCGCGAUUCUGCAAUUCCGACGCGUGGUCGUCGACGUGUCGCCUCGUGGACGGCAUCCCCCCCCCCCGUCACACCGCCGACGCACGCGCCCGCGCGCUCGCCGCACGCGUCUCGACCCGCGUCGACGUCCCGCGGCGUCGCCGCACGAGCGGAAGCGUUUCGCGCGUCCGAGGCGCGCGCGCGCGCGAGUCUCGGCGACCGCGCCGCCGCGCACGAUCGGAGGCGCGCGUCGUCCGUCCGCGUUCGGAGGCGGAGCGCGGAAGGAUCGGCGCUCGCGAUGGCGGCGUCGUGCGCGAGCGCCGCGCGCGGCCUCGCCGCGCGCGGCGGCGCCGCGACGACCGCGCCGCGCCGCGCCGCGUCCUCGCCGCCAUCGCGGUGCCGCGCCACCGCACGCGCCUUCGCGCGCGCGGGGCCGCGCGCGGACGCCGCCGCGGAUCGACGUCCUCGCGUCGUCUUCGCGCGCGGGGCCCCGGGCCGCGCCGCGAGCGCGUUGGAUAACGAAAACGAGUUGAAGCGCGCGUCGUCGUCCGCGUCGUCGCGGUGCCGCGAUGCGCGCGGCGUCGCGCGGACGCGACCGCUCGCGGCGCUCUCGAACGGCUCCAUGGACGAGGACGUCGUCCUCGACCCCGAGUCCGCGGCGUUGGCUCAGGGCGCGCAGGGCGCGCAGGCGGGGGAGGGGGACAUGAGAGAGGUGGCCGCGUGGAUCGGCGCGGCGACGCUCUUCGGGCUCGGAUUGGGCGCGUUCGCGGGAAGAGAAGCGGCGGAGGAAUACUUCGCGGGAUACCUCCUCGAGCAGUCGCUGUCCGUGGACAAUCUCUUCGUGUUCGUGCUCGUGUUCGACUACUUCAAGGUUCCCAUGUCGCAGCAGCAGAAGGUGCUCGGGUACGGCAUCGGCGGCGCGAUGGCGAUGCGCGCGGCGAUGAUUGUCGCGGGGUACGAAGCCAUCACGAACUUCAAGCCCAUCCUGCUCGUGUUCGCGGGCAUCCUCAUCUUCUCGUCGUACAAGCUCAUCGCGGAGGAGGAGGAGGAGGAGGAGGACAUGUCUCAGAACGCCAUCGUGAAGUUCGCGUCUUCGCUGGUUCCCGUGAGCGACGAGUACGACGGCGACAAUUUUUUUACGCUCGUCGACGGCGUCAAGACGGCGACGCCGCUGCUGCUGUGCCUCGUCGUGAUCGAGCUGUCGGACGUCGUGUUCGCCGUGGACUCCAUACCCGCGGUGUUUGGCGUGACGCAGGACCCGCUGAUCGUGUAUUCGAGCAACAUAUUCGCGAUUUUGGGGUUACGGAGCCUCUACGCAUUCGUCGCGACGAUGGUGGCGGAGCUGGAGGUGCGUUCUGAUGAACCUGUUUUUGUUUUUCGCGCGCCUGUCGCCCCCCGCGCGACCGCGUUCGCGCGGCGCGCGCCGUUCCUCGAGGACUUCGCCCGCGCGCGUCUCUCUCCGUCGCUCUCUGUCGUCCAAUGAAACAUCCACGCGGGUCAUCAAAUAACUAACCAAUCACAUCACUUCAAAAUGCCACGUCACCCACCGAUCGAACGACCCUCAGUACCUCCAAACCGCCGUCGCCGCGGUGCUCGGGUUCGUCGGGCUGAAGAUGGUUGCGGAUUUCGGAGGGGUGCACGUGAGCACGACCGCGUCGCUGGCGGUCGUCGUCGGGAUGUUAGGGGCGGGGGUCGCGUUGAGUCUCGCGAAGAAGGGGGACGACGACGAGGCGUAGAGAGGGAGAGGGAGAGAGACGCUCGUAAUACCAGUAAUAUCUCCAUGCGUUUACGUUUCGGUUCGAACUCGCUCGUCAUGCGCUUCGUCGUUCGUCCUCUCGUCGACGUCGCUCACUCGCGACCCGCGCGGCGUCUUCGUCUCUCGCGGUGUCGACGCGGAGGUCGUCGGCGCCGCGCGAGGAGGGCCGCGCGGCGGGCGUCGUCGCGGCGGCGGAGGCGCGGGCGCGCGACCGCUGAAGGCGAAAGAGCGGCGGCGCGGCGCGGCGCGGGGAUCUGAACCGUUCGAACGACGCCGUCCCCCGUCCUCCUCCAACAUGGUUCUCGUCUGCGUCGUCUGCCGCGGCGAGGCGUUCGACGAGACGAACGAGGGCUUCUACGUGUGCCUGCGAUGCGGCACGCAGUCGCAGGACGUCGUGCGCGAGACGCAGGACGACGACGCGGCGAUCGAGGCGAUCCGCGGCGCGGGGCGCGGCGUCCGCAGCCGGAAGGUUCGCCCGCAAGAGCGCGCGAUCGAUCCGCGCGCGCCCCUCCUCCCUUCGUCGCGGCAGCCCGCCGCCGCGACGACGCCGGCGACGACGACGCCGGCGACGCGAGAGAAGCUCGAGACGUACUGCGACGGCAUGCGCCAGCUCCUGCACGAGCAGUGCGUCGCGCUGCAUUCGACGUUCGGUUGCCCGGCGGAGACGUCCGUCGUCGCCGCGGCGUUUUGGUUCCCGUACGUCCGCGCGUGCGGCGUCAUGGAGCUCGACUUCGACGACCCGAAGACGUUCCGGGAGUCCUCGCACGUGAAGUUGAGGCCGAAGACGAAGACGAAGACGAAGACGGAGCGAGCGAAGGUUAAGAAGGAGCGCGUCGACGACGACGACGACGAUGACGACGGAGACUCGGCGAACGAAUCCUCCUCCUCCUCCUCCUCCUCCUCCUCCUCCGACGCCGACGACGCGUCGCCGGCGGGCGCGGAACGAAAACGACGCCGCAAGCUCACCCUCCGCCAGCUCAUCACGUCGCACCUUCACCCGCGCGUCACGCUCGCGAUCGCCUACCUCGCGUGCGCGUGGCUGAAGCAGCCCGUGCACGUCGGGGAUCUCGUGCGGUGGGCGCUGGACGGCGACAUGCCGUAUCUCGCGGCGUCGGCGCGCGUCCACGCGUCGCUCGGGGGCGACGAUGAGCUUCCGUUCAAGGGCGCGCUCGUCGCUCGAUGCGUCCCGCAGCCGCACUUGAUCGCGACGUGCGCGAUGCACGUGUCGUCGGUCGCGGGGAUCGCGCUCCCGCCUGCGAACGUCGCGGGGUUCGUCGCGAGGUGCGUUUUCUUUUCUGACUGGUCCCCGUGCGACCCCGUUCGCGUCUCCUUUCGACUGACCGACGCGCGCGCCUCCCUCCUUCCCUCCCAGGUUCGCGAGCGAGGUGGGCGUCGCGUCGGCGGCUUUUUUCCAAGCCGCGGAGCGCGCGGCGGCGGCGACGGAUCGCGCGCGGUUCACCUUGGACGACGCGCGGAGCGACGUCCAGAUCGCGCCGCCGCACGCGUGGGCGAUGGCGAUCGUCGUCGUCGCGUUGAAGGAGGUGCGUUUUAUCUCACACUGGUCCCCAUACGACCCCGUUCGCGUGGUGAACGCCGUUCCUUAAGGACUUUGCCCGGCGCAUCUCUCCGCCCACCCCUCGCUUUCGAUCCCCGCCCUAGAUGCCUUUCAACUCCGCUUCUGACGCCUUUGAACUCAACCCCGAUAUCGCUUUGUAUGGAAUGGCCCGGAGAUGUACGGCCUGGACGGGAGGGCGUUCGAGGACGUUCGAUUCGUCAGCCCUGCGGCGGUUUCGGCGGCGAAGCGAGAGAGAGAGGAGGAGGAGGAGGAGGAGGAGGAGGAGGAGGAGGACGCGUCGAACGAGAAACGGCGUCGCCGCGCCGCCGCCGCGGCGGCGAAAGCGCGCGAGGACGCGAAGCGGCGACGCGAGUCUGAGCCCGUCGUCGUCGCCGUCGACGGCGCGCUCGAGUGGCGCGGCGCCGGCGCGCCGCCGCCGCCGCCGCCGCCGCCGCUCGGCUGGCGCGCGGGGUGGGCCGACGCCGUCGUCGCGUCCGCGAACAACAAGCCGAGGCACCCGGUCGCGUCCGCGCGCGCGGCGACGUCCGGCGGUGACGCGGCGACGCGCGCCGCCGCCGCGGACGCCUUCAUCGCGUACUGCAGGGACCACGCCGUCGGGCGCGGCGAGGCGCCGACGCAGCCGGCGGAUCGAUACGCGGACGCGCUGUGGCGCGUGUACGACGCGGCGACGGCGGACGCGGCGCGCGCGAGGGAGGAGCGCGCGAGAGAGAGACUCGAGCAGGAGCGGCUGGAGAAGGCGCUCGGCGGCGACGGGGACGACGGGGAAGACGGCGAAGGAGAAGGAGAAGGAGAAGAGGAACGAGACCGGGAGGAAAAAAUCGUCGCGAUGCCGGCGUCAGCCGCGGCGUUCGCGUCGACGCUCGCGACCUCCCCCGCGAGCGCGUUCUCGCGAGCGCCCGUCGCCGCGGAGGAGGGAGAACGAGGCGGAGGAGGAGGAGGAGGAGGAGGAGGAGGACAGUCGACGACGACGUCGUCGCGAGGGAGAGGGAAGCCGCCGCCCGCGCAUCGCCCGCCGCGCAAGCUGUAUCGCCCGCCGCGCAAGCUGGAGGACGCGGCGGAUGACUAUCGCGCCGUCCUCGACGCGUGCGCGUCGCACGCGUGGUGCGCGUCACGGCCGCUGCACGAGGCCGUGCGCGCGAUCGAUGCGACGACGCGCGCGAGAGAGCUCGCGAUGGAGAGGGAAACGCACGCGGCGCUCAGGGAAGAGGCGAAGAGGGACGGCGUGCGGAGGAAGCGGCUGUGGAAGCGACCCGCGGCGCCGAAGAGGACGGAGGGAUCGAAACGCGUCGUCGCGGGAAGGCGCGUCAGGGACGACGUCGCGCUGAGGACGUCCACGGGGGAGGAGAAACGAGGCGGCGCGCGCGCGCGGCGCGGCGCGGUGAAGCGCGAGCCCGCGUCCGCCGCCGACGACGACGAUAGCGAUAGCACGUAGCGAAGAACGCGCGCCGCGCGGUUCAGCGCGUUGGUUGAAAUUAUUCGACGCUUGCGUCGUGUGUUACACUUCGUUGCUACACUCUCUACUCGUACAUUGUCGUUGAUGAAUCGCUGGUUCUACACUACACUAUUGGUACCGUGUUCUUGUUGUUGUUCUACAGUGUCGAAACCGACGAGAAGCGAAGCAGCAGGAGGUAUUUCGGUCUUGAGAGCGGCGCGCGAAGGCGGCCGCCGCGGCGCCGGGAGUUUUUUUUUUCUCCAGACGCCGCGGCGACAGCUGUCGCGCGACCGUCCAUAGCCGCGCCCGGGGCGCGUCUAUUACUCGUCAUUCUCGAGCUUCCUGCGUUCCUUCUUGCUCAGUUUCUUGUUCCCGCCGUUGGCGGCGAACUCCUCCGCGGCCUUCCUCGCCUCGACCUUCGCCUCCUGUGGAUUGGAUGGGGAAGAGAGGAGAGAGAAGGGGUGUCGUGAGAAAAAAAUCUUUCGGCCCGAAAAAAGAGUCGGGGUCCGAGUCAGCAGUGGACGUUUCGACGGACGAGAGGGCCGCUUCGGAUACGCACCUUGGCAGCCUUCCUCGCGGCCUUCUUCUCCUGCUUCUCGCGCUCGACCGCGGCCAUGAUCUCGAUCUGCGUCGGAGGCCGCUUCUCGCGCUUCUGCGCCUUCCCCUUGUUCAGGAUGCCCACGCCGAACUCGACGCCGUGCUGAGAGGGAGGAAGGGGUGGUCGCGGGAAAUUAUCCCGUCAGAUGCGGGGCCAUCGGGAGCGAUCGGAUCGGCGACCGAAUCGUCGGUCGCGACGCGAAGAACGUCGACGAAACGCGCGUAUCGAUGCGUGAAGGUGUCGACGCGAUCGAUAACGGGAGGUGGGGGGGAAUCCGACGCACCUGGUGCUGCAGCUUAGCCUGCGCCGAGGGAGGAAAAAGAACGCGCGAGGAAGCUGACGUCAGCGGGGCGCGAGAUCUCGCGGGGGUAAAAAAGCCGAGACGGAUCGGGCGGGGAGACGCGCUCGCGCGCGCGCGCGAGGCGAAUCCACCGCGCGGGGACGAGGGAAUGACGCUCGAUCGACCGAAGAAAAGAUGCGCGCGGGGAAGGAGGAAGACGCACCUCGUACGCGUUGAGGAGCUGCCCGCGCCCCAUGAGCUCGUGCACGACGAGGUAGUUCUCCGGAUCUUCGUUCGCGAGGCCGGCGUCGAGGUGGAAGGAAACGUCGACGGGGGUCUCGGUCGUAGGCGUGCUCAUUUUGAAGGAUGUAGGUGUGGGGGGUGUGGAGGCGGUUGUGUGUGCGACUACGUGGUCGACGGAUGCGAAGGGUGACGGCUUACGGGUGGUAAGCUCGUGCGAUGCGCGUGUUGGAAUGGUUGAGGAGUAGAUAGAAAGCGAGCGAAGUGUCGAGAAGCGCAACCGUAAUCUCGUGUGCAAAAAUAUGCAGACUAAUUGCCCAUAGAGUAUCUUCACACAAUUUUUGUGAAAUCUGAACAACUGAACACGAAAAUCGCUGACGUGGAAUUCGGUCGUCCGCGUCAGCGAUGACGCUCUACGCGCAAUCAGUCAGAGUACGCGCGCGUCGUAGUACGCUUCGAUCAAUUACACCUCGGGGUCAAUUUUCCCGGGGUUUCGACCCCGACACGAACCGUCCCCGACACCGGGCGACCGGAGCCAAACUCGCGUCACCGAUUCGAUCGAUCGCGGCGGCGUCACAACAGCAAGCAAUACUCGCUCCACUUCGGCCCAUAACACGGCCCGUCGUCCUCCCUCGUCAGCGCGACGUGCGGCGUCCUCCCCAGCCUCUUCCCCUCCUCCCUCGUCAGCGCCACGGCGACGUAGGACUCCUCCUCGAGGCCGAACGGACCGUCCGCAUCCGCCGCGCGGACGCCGAGAGUUUUCACGGCGAAGCCGCGAUGCAACAGCGCGGCGUUCGCGCGCGUCUGCCACGCGCGCAAGUCGGCGUCGAUCUCGCGCAUCGCGCACCGCGCGAGCGCUUGUAAGGGCGGGACCAUGACCAUCGUGAGGUAGAGCGGAAAGAAGGCGUAACACGGACCGCACCCGGCGCGCUGGCGGAGGGAGAAAUUUGAGGGAGGGAGGGAGGGAGGGAGGAAGGAA